rnacentral:lncRNA from 1 species
UUUGCACUCGUAUUGCUGCUUUUUCUCGUCGUUCCCUGAUCAUAUCUAACUGGUGGAUUAAUAAUCUUCGUUGAGUUCGGCGUCUUCUGAACAUAUCCCUCGUCGCUGACUCGGGACCUCGAUUUCGGCUGGGAGUACGACUUCGACUCCGCAAGAUAGCGAGAAUGGUGUUGUUCUGUAGGCCCACAGGACACUGUGCAGCUCUUCGCCCCACCUUUCUUUCUUGAGGUUGAGUCUCUUCUUGAGGUUGUUCAUGAUAGUUUUAUUUGCAGCUUCCGCAUGACCGUUGCAUUUUGGGUAUUGGGGGCUCGCGGCCUUAAUUUUGAUUUUCCACUUUAUGCAAAACUCGUUGAACAUAUUUGAGAUGAAUUGUGGUCCAUUGUCGGUUACUAUCUCGUAUGGUAAACCAUGUCGACAGAUGAUGUUUUUCCAAAUGAAGCUGGUUACCGUCGUAGACGUGACGUUGGAGAAUGCUUCGGCUUCGAUCCAUUUGGUAAAAUAAUCAGUUAGUACCAGGAGAAAUCGUAAUUGGGCUGGCCCAGAAGGUACUAGCGGGCCUACUAUGUCCAUCGACCAUUUCAUAAAAGGGUAUGGUGAAGAUAUUGUCGAUUAUUUUUAAGUCGGUUGGUGUAUCAUUGGCGCGUGCCUUUGGCAUUUGUCGUAUUUUAACGCGAAUUGCUCGCUAUAAUCGGCAAUCGUUGGCCAGAAGUAGUCUAGUUUCUUUAUCCUGAUUGCUAGGGAUCCCCCGCCAGAGUGGCUUCCGCAUGAUCCUCCAUGAGUUUGUUUUAGGAUUGUGAAUGCGUCUUUGGGCGACACCCCCAACAAGUAAGGCUCGUCUAGGCUUCUUUUGUACAUUUUUUCUUCCAUAAUACAAUAGCGCGAGCUCUGGGCUUUUAUUUUUCGAGCUUCCCAUCUUUCAGCAGGGAAUUCGCCGUCUUUUAUGUAUUUAAAUAUUGGGGUUCUCCAAUCUGGUCUAGCUUCGAGCUCUUUUUAGAAGGCGUCGUGCGCCUCGUUGUUAGUUUCGUGGAUGGCUUCGUCGGGGUCAGUUGCUGUUCUUCUAGUCCUGACGCGUGACGUGCUCAGGAUUGAUGGAUCGUCGAGCUCACCGCUGGUUUUGUCGUUGAGUUUUUGGCUUUCUUUCCGAGCUCUGCUUCGUGUAGUGAUUACAUCGAUGCGUGGGAGGCUGUCUCCUUAGAGAUUUCUUCCUUUGCUCGGGAGAUCUAUGGAUGGCUUUUCUAUUCCUUCUACCGGUAUUAUUCUUUUUCCCGCUGGGAUGGAAGUCGAAGCUAGUGCAGCUAGAGCGUCGGCCGACGUGUUAUCUCCUCUUGGGAUUUUUGUGAGCUCGAAUUUGUCGAAUUGCUGAGCAAUCUCUUUUAGGACUGUGAGGUAUGCUUCAAUCCUUUCGUUUUUUGCUUCAUAUUCUCCGUGGAAUUGGCUCGUGACCAGCUGGGAGUCGCUGAAGGCGCUGAUUUCCCAAGCUCCGACGCUUCGCGCGAUUCGUAGGCCGGCGAUCAGAGAUUCGUAUUCGGCUUCGUUGUUCGAUGCGCUGAAUCACAGGCAAAAUGAUUGCUCGAUCAUUUCCCCUGUCGGGGACUCGAGCUGUAUUCCGAUCCCGGAUUUCUGCCUUGAUGAGGCCCCAUCGAUGUGUGAUGAUACACUAAAAAUGAAUCCUUGCUACUGUUAAGUUAACAGUUGUAAUUGUAAUAUUUGAGAUUCAAUCCAGAGGACCAGUUUACUCUUUGCUCUUAUGAGUUCAAUAUUAAGCUGGGAAACAAGUGGGGUUUUAAAAUCAAUGGCAACGCAAGUAACUAGAAUACCUAGAGAUUCAAAUUCGAUUUAAAUGAAAGCCGGCUUAGGGUUGUUCAUCGGGUGUCAAUGUGGAACCAAACAACUAUUCAAGUGCAAUGAGGUGCAGUCUAGAACUCAGAUCACUCGGCUAGAACAAUCCACUAUCGUGGACUUGUUCCCUUUGUUGAUCGGUCUUGAGUCCUAAGCUCUCACUUGGAACAAGACGCGAUAGCAAGCCUUAGAGAUCAGGUCCGAUUAGUUCACUUAAUACCCUAAUAUCUACUCUCGCUGAUUAGGGAUAUGAAGCUCAUUCAAUAUAUGUCAAUUUAUCUCCUAAGCGGUUAGCUAGGUGAUUAAACUUGAGAUCAAACAUUAAGUGAUCAAUUCAAUGCAAGCAGCAAGAACAAUAUGAAUGAAGAACAAUUAAAAUCACUUAUUUGCGUUUAGCUCAUGCGAUUGACACCCUAAAACCCUAAGCAAGCUUAGCCUACUACUCAAUCAUAAAACAAAGUGAUACAGACAUGAUUUCUGAAUAAUACUGCAUAUAAAAUAAAGUAGAAAGACAAGGGUUCAGGAUGAUCUUCUCGUGAAAAUGAGAGAUGAAGCCUUCUCCCUUUCAAGUUGCUAAAUCGCCAAAAUAGUUCUAGGUUUCUUGCCAAAACAGCGUAGUCAAAAAGAAAUGAUAGGAUAGGCUUUUUAUAUGGAGGCGCCGGUGGUAAAGAGAGAAGAGAUGGAAUCUAGGGCAAACUUCUGAAAUCUUGGAAGUUUUCUUAGUGAUUGGGAACAGUCAGACGCUUGUUCUCUUCGGGAACAAUCUUCGGAUUGGUCUGACUGGCUGUUCUGCGUCGGAUAUUCCAAAAUGACAUCUUUCUUCAUAGAACUCUCUUCUUUGCUCUUUCACCUGCUCAAAACCUAGAAUGAUAUCAAAUAAGCACGAAUUAGGACUGAGAAUUAACUCAAAGCACACAUAUAAUGGUAUUAAAAACACCAUAUAUCAAUUCCCCCAGACUUAGAUCCUUGUUUGUCCUCGAACAAGGCCAAGCCUCAAGAGCAGGUAGAAAGGUUUGAAAGAGUGGGAACUCGCUUGUCCUCAAUAACCAUACUCUUACCACACAUCUCUGAACCGUACAAGCUGUAGACUCAGACCACACACCCUUACCAAAACACCGAUGAUCGCUGUUCGAAAAUCAGCUACAUACUAUGUAUCUAAUACCUGAAAAAGGGUACACUAUCGAGACAAAACUACUUAAAUUCAAUUAAGAACAGCAUGAGCUUCUCAUCACAGGCACUAUUCAGGGUAGACGGGCUAGGUAAGGAACAUGCUAUUUCAUGGUGGAGCUAAGAGUGUUUAGGGGCUACCAAUUUUAAGUGGAUGCAGGAUAUCACGCAAAAUAGCAGGAGAGGACGGAUCCAUUGAUGUCCACAGCCCUUACUCUUUUUUGCUUCACGGGUGCAGUUGUUCUCUCCUUCGGAUCAACCGUGGGACUGUUCUUCAGUUCUUGACUUCCUUUGCCUACUCCUCAAAAAUUGGUACCAACUCCUUGCUCAACCUUCCCAGUGGCGUUUAUUUUUCGGAUUCACCUUCCCCAUCUCCAUCACCAUAAAAAAAAAUAUAUAUAUAUAUAUAUAUAUAUGUAUAUAUAUAUAUAUAUAUAUUUUUCCUACAAGGUGAUGGGGUUGCGAGGGAAAGGCAACAUAAUGAAUGUUUUGCAGCCACUGGUGGUCUAUUCUUUUGUUUCUCACUGGUCGCCAUUGUUCCUCUGGUUAGAACAUGCACCCAUAGACUGUUCUCUUGUUAGAGCAUGGUCUCAUCGACUGUUCUCUUCAUGCUUGAUCUCUCUUCUCUGAAUGUAUGGCGUUAACGAUAAGAGGCUGCGUCAAUCAUUUCCUCUCUGACCCUUUUGCACAUAUCUGCACAUAUGACACUGAAAAACAGAGUGCAUGAGGGUGAAAAUAAAGGCUUAGGCGCAAGGUGGGAACUAGCUAAAGAUGAGCUGGCCACUCAGGAUCAGCAAGAUUGGUAAAAAGAGUAAGAAGUCCUGAGUGUAAGUCUCGUUUCCCUGAUCUAGUUCUCAUAACAAGAAGAAUUUCAGUCAAGAUUAGAUUCAAGUUAGGUGGAGUUGAGUCUACCAAGUGUAACCUGAUCGGUUGAGAGCUUCUACUGAAUCAAAUGAGAUAAGUCAGGGGUGAUCCAGGCCCAAGUGUGGGUCUUUCAUCACUGCUAAGGUCACUGGAUAAGAAUGUUAGAGCAUGAGGUGGUUAAAAGAUUAUCACAACACAAGGUCCUAAUUCCCACAAGAGUUUUAGCUGACUCGAUCCUAAACUGGCUCAAUAAAACAUCCAAAUGACAUAGGGACUGACUCAAAAAUAAAAACAUAGAGUAGCAGCACACAAACAAGUGCUUCCCCCCAGACUUAAUUCACACCAUCCCUGGUGUGACAUCAAAUCGGAGUCAGCCAAAUACACAUCAAAUAGAUAAAGAGUUCAAAUGGAUAAAACAAUGGAUAGAGAAAAGUCCUGGUAGACUCAAUCGGACUUGCCGCUCUCGGCUAGAUCAAGCGAACGUCUGUUGCGCGAGCGAUUAACCUCCUCAGUUGAAGGGCCUCUUCCCAUAGGCUCCUUGCCUGGACGGUGUGGUUGUGGGGUCUGCGCUACUGGUGACUGUCGCUGGUUACUUCCGCCAAUGCAGCCGCCGGUAACGAGAUGGAGGAUCAUCCGCAUGAGACUGUUGUUCUUCCGCUGCUAGUAAACCAUCCAGCGUCGGUAAGCUUGAUCAUCUGUCACAUCCGCCAGCUCCCCGAGGUUGUAUGAUGGGUCAGCUUCUGGGGUAAUGUCCUCGACAUCCUCCAUAUUCGCGUCAGAUGCAGCAGCACGAGGAUCAGUGCAUAGGAGCUCGGGUGGUGGGAGGAAGCGUAUGUUGUCAAACACGCUGAGCCUGGUGAUCUCGGGGUGAGGCAGCUUGGUAAACAGCUGGGUACCCUCCUUGUCGAAGAAGUUGUAGGUAUCCUCAUCUCGCAUGAUGUGGCACACCAUAAGUUACUUGAUGUCGAGGUACUGGAUCUCCGUGUUGUAUUUGCUGAGAUCAAUGCCGAAAUGCUUGAAGAGCGGUGUGAGCAAGCUACCACUUCUGUCCUUCUUGUUUGAACAGUGCAUAAGACACUGCCUCCUCUCGAAAAGCAUGGUGAUGAAAUGAAAGCCUGGGUUCGUUUUGACCUUCUGAAUUGGAAUGCCAGACCCUGAAGCGCGGAUCUCAUCCUCAAUACCUGCAUACAGGGUUUGCAGCUCCCCGUUUGUCACUUGGCGAACAGGAGGUUUGAAAUGAUCUUUGCAAUGACUCUAAGUGCCGGGUUCCUGAUCUGCGACUGGUAGGCUUUGCCAGGUGUGAAGUUCCCAUUCGCGAUGAAGUCCCAGAAGGCGUUUGAUGGGGCAAACUUUUUCGCCACUGCUACCCCUCUCGGCUCAUUCGCGAUCUCAUAGAUUUCAUUGAGUUUGUCGAGGGACAGCGAGCAAUACUGUCCAUCAGCCAUGAAUGAGAAGGAGCAGUUGGCGUAGGAGGGCGCAGAGGAGUCCUCGUAAGUAAUGGUGGCAGUAGCGAGCACUUGGCGAGCAAGGUCUGGGUAGAGCUCUUGUGCCUGAUAACAGAGGGGAGCUAUCCCCAUUGCUUGCAAUGUUUCGAACACAUCCUCGUCAAUCCCGAGAUCAGCAAGAGUUUCAGCAUGGCCAAAACGAGUAGGUAGGAUAUCGACCUUGAGGAGGGAGUUGUAACGCCCAGUUGUUUCCUUGUCCUACCCCUCGCAGUUAAAGUCUAAAAGCAUUUGGCUGUUGAGAUCAAUCGGUUCACCCUCUUGUUCACGAGGCCAUGGGUAGGAUGCGGAGGUCGGUUGUUGUGCUCGCGGCGGUGGCGUGUUGCUCGCGAGGUUCACCCUCGUUUUCUUGGCCGAUUGCUUAGUGUGUGGCAUCUGCAAGGCGAACAAGUUUUAUUCUUUAGUUCCAUUUUAGUUGCAUAGAAGAAACGGAAUCAAACAAUUUCUAUUUCCUCCUUAUGCAACUCAUAAUUGCUUCAACAUGACAAGAACCGCAAUAAACAAUAAACAUAUAUACAGCUCAACUCAUUAAACCAAUUCAACUUCUCAUAAAUCGAAUCAGAUCGAUUGAGAUCAGGAUAUAUCAAAACGGUUCAAUCAAUGGAGAAGUGAAAUCGCAAAUCGCUAAAGUAAAAGAAAGCAUGAGUUCAUCUUCUAACUCAACCCUAACAGCAAAUGGGGAGAUCAAAAUCAAGUCAUUCUCAACAAGAAUCGAUCUAUCAAAGCGAUUAGAAGGGUGAACUUGUCAAACCGAAUCUGCGAUUUGUAUGGUGAUUGUCGAGCCUCUUACCUUAUGAAUCGGGGGAACUUGACUGCAAAAACAGAGAGAACGCGAAUAUCCAAGAAAAUUAGAAGCAAGAAUCACUUAAAAUAAAUGAUAAAUUGAGGUUUUGGUGAUUGCUCUAAUUCGCAAGUGGGGAGGUGUACGGUAAGUGAGACGGGAAAGAGGUAGAGUGAGGCCUUAAAUAGGCGAAACCCUAACCACUUCCUUUUAUCCCCCCCCUUUUUUUUAAUUAUAUUAAUUUUUUUUUUGUGUCCGAGACACUUACCUGGAACAGGCGAUGGGUUGUUCCACUAGGAGAACAGUCCUUCGGUUGUUCUGACUGAAGUGUUCGGUUUUUCUUGAAAUAUACACUCACCAGUGGGUUGCCUCCCACCAAGCGCUUAGUUAAAGUCAUUAGCUUGACUUGGCUCAGCCGAUCAGGCUGAUGGGGGAUCAUCUACGAUAGUGGAGUCAGCAAGGUAAUGCUUGAUGCGCUGACCAUUGACGACGAACUCGUCUCCCUUUCUGUCCAGCAACACAACAGCUCCGUAAGGUCGGAUUUCCUUAAUGGUGAAGGGUCCGGACCAUCUAGAUUUCAGCUUGCCUGGGAACAGCCUAAGUCUGGAGUUGAAGAGUAAGACCUUAUCGUUUGGUUCGAAACGUCUGGCAAUGAUUUGCUUGUCAUGGCAGGCUUUGGUCUUCUCCUUAUAAAUUUUGGAACUCUCAUAAGCGAGGUGCCUUAUCUCUUCCAACUCAUGGACUUGGAUCAUGCGCUUCUCAGUUGCUGGCUUGAUGUCGAAAUUCAGUAACUUGACCGCCCAUGCAGCCUUGUAUUCGAGCUCGAGAGGAAGAUGGCAUGCCUUACCGUAGACCAAGUGAUAGGGGGUGGUCCCUAGCGGCGUUUUGUAGGCUGUUCUGUAGGCCCAGAGAGCAUCGUCCAGCUUAAGCGACCAGUCCUUGCGCGAGGUAUUGACAGUUUUUUGGAGAAUGUUCUUGACCUUCCAGUUGGAAACUUCAACCUGUCCACUCGUCUGGGGAUGAUAAGCGGUAGCCACCUUGUGUUUCACCCCCAUUCUUCUUCAACAGGCCCUGAAAUGCCCUGCUGAUGAAGUGUGUUGCGCCAUCGCUAAUGACCACUCUAGGCACCCCAAAUCUCGGAAAGAUGAUGGAGCAAAACAUCUUAGUCACCAUUUUUGCAUCAUUAGUGGGACUCGCCACUGCUUCUACCCACUUGGAGACAUAGUCAACGGCGACCAGGAUGUACUCGUUCUUGAAGGAUGGAGGGAAUGGUCCCAUGAAAUCGACUCCCCAACAGUCGAACACCUCAACUUCUAAAAUGUAAUUCUGAGCCAUCUCAUUCCUUUUGCUGAUGUUCCCAAGUCGCUGGCAUGCAUCGCAUCGAGCUAUGUAGGCGUGAGCAUCUCUGAACAUAGUUGGCCACCAGAAACCUGCUUGGAGGAUUUUGGAAACCGUUUUGAAUGUGGCGAAGUGCCCUGCAUAAGAGGAACCAUAGCAAUGAUGUAGACUCCCUGGAAUAUCUGCCUCUGGAACACACCUUCUGAAUAUGCCAUCCUUGCAAUGUUUGUACAAGUACGGUUCAUCCCAAACAUACUGCCUCGCCUCUCUUAAGAAUUUCCUCUGCUCGUUUCCAGUGAACUUAAGUGGUUCCUUUUCAGCAGCUAGGAAGUUCGCAAUCUCAGCAAACCAGGGGAGGUGAGAGUACUGCUUUUGGAUUGCGGCUACUGGUUGUUCUGGUACGCGAGAACAAUCGGAUGUUAUGCUCAGGGGUUGUUCCGCGAAGCGCAGACCAAUCGCGUUGACGUGUUCCACUGUGUGUUCUUCAUCAAGGGCUGUGUCGUCCUCAAUCUUCAUUUUGGACAAGUUGUCUGCAACCCCAUUCUCGACUCCUUUUUGUCUUUUAUCUCGAGAUCAAAUUCUUGGAGAAGAAGAAUCCACCUUAACAACCUCGGUUUUGCAUCCAUCUUUGUGAGUAAGUACUUAAGAGCAGCAUGGUCUGUGUGCACAAUCACCUUCGAUCCCACCAGGUAGGAUCUAAACUUCUCGAAUGCAAAAACAAUAGCCAGGAGUUCCUUCUCAGUCGUAGCGUAUCUGCAUUGAGCUUCAUCCAUGGUUUUGCUUGCGUAAUAGAUCACAUGAAGUUUCUUAUCCUUGCGCUGCCCAAGGACUGCUCCAACUGCAAAGUCGCUAGCAUCAGUCAUGAUCUCAAAGGGGAGAUCCCAGUCUGGCGGUUGUACAACAGGUGCGCUGAAUAGAGCUCCUUUGAUCGUAUGGAACGCAGCUAAGCACUCGCUGUCGAAAUCAAACUUGAUCUCCUUGCAGAGUAGUCUGGUGAGUGGUCUCUCUAUUUUUGAGAAAUCCUGGAUGAACCUCCUGUAAAACCCUGCGUGACCCAAGAAGCUUCUGAUAGUUUUCACAGUUGUUGGUGGUUGCAAGCUCAUCAUCACCUCGACCUUUGCCUUAUCCACCACAAUGCCUUUCUCGGAGAUCUUAUGCCCUAGAACAAUCCCAUCUCUGACCAUGAAAUGGCACUUCUCCCAAUUGAGCACCAGAUGUUUCUCUUCACACCUUUUGAGUACCCUGCACAAGUUUGACAAACAGACACUAAAGGAGCUUCUAUAGACACUGAAAUCUUCCAUGAAAACCUCCAUAAUAUCUUCAAUCAGUUCAGUAAAGAUCGACAUCAUGCAGCGCUGAAAUGUUGCUGGCGCAUUGCACAUGCCGAAUGGCAUUCUCCUGUAUGCGUACGUUCCGUAUGGGCAUGUGAACGUCGUCUUCUCCUGAUCGUCUGGAUGGAUAGGGAUCUGAAAGAAACCUGAAUAACCAUCUAAAAAGCAGAAAUAUGGGUGGUUAGCCAAUCUCUCAAGCAUUUGAUCAAUGAAGGGAAGUGGAAAGUGAUCCUUUCUAGUGGCUGCAUUUAAUUUUCUGAAAUCAAUGCACAUGCGAUGUAUUGUCACUGUUCUAGUAGGGAUCAAUUCAUUCUUUUCAUUUGUGAUAAUAGUGAUCCCACCUUUCUUAGGUACUACAUGAACAGGGCUAAACCACUUACUAUCAGAUAUGGCAUAGAUCACACCCGCCUCAAGAAGUUUCAUUAUCUCUUUCUUAACAACAUCUUUUAUAUUCGGGUUUAACCUCCUCUGAUGUUCAAUAGAAGUCAUUGAUUCAUCUUCUAGGUGUAUUCUAUGCAUUCAUAAAUCAGGUGAGAUGCUAGGUACGUCAGCUAGUGAAUAUGCUAAUGCCUUACGAUACUUCCUAAGCUCACACAAAAGCAAUGCAGUUUCCACAUUUUUGAGUUCAACGUUCACAAUGACUGGAUAAGUGGAAUUCUGACCUAAGAAAGCGUACCUGAGCCCCUUGGGAAGGGAUUUUAGCUCAACCUUGGGAGCCUUCAACUCGCUCAAAGGGAUCAUCAGGUAGGUUCGGCGGAACAGGCGAGUUCGGUAAAGGGGUCGCUCCAAUUGGAGUGUUCUCGUCCUUGUUGCUCUCUUCCCCCAGACUUAGACUCGCCACCAUUCUUCCCAUACUCCUUGCGGAGUCAAGCAUCUUGGCAUACCCAUAUGCGUCAAUGUUCUCGACACUCUGGUCGGCCUCAGCUCUUACUAGUGCAAGCUCAAGUGGAUCUUCUGUAAGAAUCUCCUCGAUCAUCCCGUCACGAGGUUGCAGCGGAUCAAUCCCUUCAUCCACCUCGAAGGUCUGUCCAUCCAGCAUCGGCAUCUUCAGCAGCUCAUCCAUCUUGAGCUGCAUGACUAUGUCCCCCAGAUUGAGAUCAAUAUUCCCUUGCCGCACAUCAAUGAUGGCUCCAACAGUACAUAGGAACGGUCUUCCUAAUAUGAGAGGAUCUUUGGAUUCCUCUUCCAGCUCUAGAACUACGAAGUCUGCUGGAGCAGAGGUGUUCCCGACUUUUACUUGGAGAUCCUCUAGAAUACCAACCAGGGACUUAACUGAUAUAUUUGCGAAAACCAAGGACAUCCUAGUUGGUUUGAAAUGCGUGUAUCCCAGACGUCGUGCUACAGAGUGGGGCAUGAGGUUUACGCUGGAUCCCAGAUCAACCAAGGAGCAUGAGAAAACUGUCUUCCCAAUAUGGAUAGAGAGGACGAACUUGCCAAGGUCUCCUCGCUUCUUUAUCUGCCUGUUCUGAAGCACUGUGCUGCACUCCUUAGAGACAGUCAUGAAUUCGCUCUUGUGGGAACCGAAAUUCGCACUGUCGAUUUCCGUUUAAAUAAGGAAACUAGGAAAACCCUAAUUUCCCAGAGGACCCGGAUAUCUGCUAAUUACCACACGUCAAGCAAUCAGAACACGAGAAUAAAAACGAUAAGAAUAAGAAAUCGAAAAAGAGAGCAAUGUAGAUCUUAUUAUGAAUCUGCGUAUGAGCGUUUACAACAAGGUAUAAGCCUGGGCUCGAGAGCUGUCGGCGAGAUUCCUAGUUCUAGCAACCCUAAGACGGCUAAACCUAAUUGAGUCGCAGCUCGAAAUAACAAAAACGGAAAAUUGCCUAUAUUGCUCUAAGUGCUAAGUUUGCUCUGAAAAGUGCUCUCUUCAUGCUCCUCGCCUAGGACUCCUUAUAUACUAGCUCCAAGGUCGGUUUACGCUUUUACUCUUCUGCCCUUAAGCCGUCAUAGCAUAAAAAUGGAGAUAUUCCAUUUUUCCCGAUCUUCCAAUUAUCUUCAAAACUUCCGUAAUUAUCCGCGGAAACUUGACAUUUAUCCUUCCUUGUGGACCAAGCGUAAUCCGUGCUGCGGUUUACGGGCUUUUGGUUGAGAAAUCGUAGGAUGGGCCUCGAGUCGUGUUUUAGAUCCCUUUGGGGCGUCUUCCGACUCGACACGUUUACUACGAAUUUUUUUCGAUAAAGAACGAUCUUUCUGCGGUUUCUAAUCCGCGAAGUUUGAUUGAUGGAUUUGAAUAGCGGAAAACAUGGACUGAGCUUGCUACGGUCUUCGGGAGAUAGCAUUCGAAGGUUUGACGAGAAUGCAUGGAUUGAUGUCGUAUCGAUGUUCGGAAGGGUUCAAUCGCUACAUAGCGACCGAGCUUUGGCUCGAGCUCCGUUGCUACGUAGCGACCGAGCGGGACGAUCACUCGGUCGCUACGUAGCGACCGAGCUUUGGCUCGAGCUCGGUCGCUACAUAGCGACCGAGCGGGACGAGCGAUCGGUCGCUACGUAGCGACCGAGCGGGACGAUCGCUCGGUCGCUACGUAGCGACCGAGCGGGACGAUCGCUCGGUCGCUACGUAGCGACCGAGCGGGACGAUCGCUCGGUCGCUACGUAGCGACCGAGCGGGACGAUCGCUCGGUCGCUACGUAGCGACCGAGCUUUGGCUCGAGCUCGGUCGCUACAUAGCGACCGAGCGGGACGAGCGAUCGGUCGCUACGUAGCGACCGAGCGGGACGAUCGUUCGGUCGCUACGUAGCGACCGAGCUUGGCCGAGCUCGAUCGCUACGUAGCGACCGAGCGGGACGGACGUUCGGUCGCUGCGUAACGACCUGUUUCGAGCUUUCGUCGGACAUCUCGAUUCCUUCUUCCGUAAAGCUUUUUCGUAAGGAAGAAUCUAUUUCGAAAAGUACUCUUCGGAAAAAUUCUUAUUUUCUUCCUCGGACGUUUUGAAUGUUAAAUUUGUCGUAACCGUUUUUGACCCCAACAGUUAGCCCCCCAGCCUGUUAGAGUUGUGAAUCUAGCGGGCGGAUAGAUGACUUUGACAAGGUUAAGUGUAUUGGACGAAAUUCACAUUUUAAACUCCGCGGAAAAAAGUUGUCGAGACGAUAUUCCGAAUCCAUACUUCUAUAAGUAGUGAGCUCUUGUCAUUCAUUUUCUUCACACCUUCCCUUCUUCAUUCCUUCAAACUCAUUCAAAAAUUAAAAAACUCUCUAGUUUCAUAACUUUCCUUUCAACAUGUCUUCCUCCCAAGGUGAUAAGAAGGAUUCCGACGUCGAGAUGGGCGAGGCCAUUUCUCCGGCUCCGGUUCUAACUUCUCCGGCGGAAGCGCCGACUUGUGUUGCCGGUCAUCUUUCUUUCCGAGAGGAACUAGUUCGUCGUCAAGCCGAGAAAGAACUAGCUCAAGCUGGCUCUGAGUUUCCGUCUUCUUCCGCGCAGGUCGUUGCCUCGUGUCAUGGGACCGAAGUCAUGGCUCUUCUCCCGCAAGCCCAUCCUGCAGGAUCUUCCACGACUCCGAUCCUCGUCGAGGACAAGGAGAAGGCCGUUGACUCUAUGCCUCCUCCUCCAGCCAGAAAAGACGUCGUUCUGGCAUUGCGUGCUCCUAGCGCUGUCCUGGCUUCUAAGCCUAAGAGUCGGAAGAGGAAACUUGCCAAGAGUGGUGACGGGGAGAAUUCGCAGCGAGGCGGAUCGAGCCUAGCAUCGGGACUUCGCGGAAAGGUUUAUCUCUUGUUUGAAUUCUCGAUCGUCUUUUGUGCAUUCUUUUCUCGGACUUAGUCUUAAGAAUUUUCACCGUUCGCAGUUCAUAUCGUUGAUCGAUAGGAUGAUCGGCGAAUGUGGUUCUGAGACCAGUCGCCUUUCCAGGGAGUUGGUGGAGCUUCAGGGCAGAUGGUCCGAAACCGAGGCCAUGUUGACGGCUGUCAAGGACUCUCACUCUGCGAAAGUGUCGAAGCUCGAGGUUGCGAUAGGAGAGCUUGAGAGGGACCUUGGGAAGACGGCGAGUUCCUUACUUAAGGAAAAGAAGGCCAGGAAGGCCAAAUCCUCGGAGGUGCGUCGACUCCAGCAUCAGAUCGAGAGUGACGCGGGACUAGCGCGCCGUGGGAUCCAUGAGGCUACGGAUGCCCUUCGCGCGGAGUGUCAAGCUCGCUUGGCGAAGAUUUCUGCUUCCCUGGGUUCCCUCGUGUGUAUCCGGAGCAGGGAUCUAGCUUUGGCGACGAUUGAGGGCGGGAUGACCGUGGUUCGGUCGUUCCAAAGUGAGACUCCCCCGACCUUGGAGGCCGAAGAGGCCCGACUGUCCGGCUGCAAGGGAGAUAUGGCGGCCGAGAAUGGAGAUUUCGGUCUCGUCCUGGCCGACCUGAAAUCCGCGUGCUUCCUUCCGACGUGUUGAGAAGACCCAGAGGGGAAAGACCCGAUGGUGUGAGAAAACGGAGGUGGCGCGGCUCCAGGCUCGGACGAGGCAGCGGGUGAAGAGGGGGCGUAAGUUCUGAGGAUGACUUGGGUUAGAUCUCUUGCAAGAUAUUUUUUUUAUGUUUUUACGUUUCGGCCUUGAAUGGCCUUAUUUGUAUUUCGGGACUGGCCGUGUGUGGCUUUGAAUCCCUGCCGCUCUGCGGCUUUCUUUUUAUGGUAAGAUAAUCGGAUAGCGCUUUUUAUGAGUUUGCGAAUAGUGGGGAGGAAGGUGAUGAGUUGUCGUUUCAUAUCCUUCUUCGAUUGUGAAAUGUUUCAUUCGAGACCUGUUUCGAGAGUUCUUCCGCGAGAUGUGAACUCUGUGGGGGUGCUGAAGAUGUCGAACAUAAACAUAGAGGCAUGGUUUAAGAAUCUCUUAUCUCUCGAUAUCAUGCCUUCGAGAUGUUAGAGACCAGUGCGCUGGGUUUAGGGCAAGACCUAGGUUUACUCUCGGUUUAAGGAUUGUGCGGUGACUAACCGGCUAUUGUUUUUCCUGUCGCGAUUUCUUCCUGAUUCGUAUCGAUGUAAAGUCCGCGAUAGGUUCUCGGCUUAUACGACUUGUUUGAUACGAAUCGAGCAUCUCUUCGGAGACCGGAAGUGCUAGACCAAAAUUUCGGAUUUCUUUUAUAGCGCUAUUAUCCUUGUGUCGGAUGUAAGAGAGUCAUCUUCGUGAGAUGGCUAUGUCUGUUUAGGACGUUUUGUGAGUUCGAUGUGAUCAGCAUCGGACUUGGUGGCGUGUGCCGUUGUUUCGAAUUUUUUAUGCAAAAUAGGUGCUAGUGUGUGCAUAUAUAUGUUUCUUUUGUGACGGAAGUUUCGUUCGUUCGAAAGAAAUAAACUUUUGAGGCAUCUUUUGCGACGUCUCGCGAUGCCAAAGGGUGCUUCUCCUAAACGGUUGACUAAUAUCCGAAGACCUCGCACUGAUUUUACAGGUGUGGAGGUUUUGAUAAGUCGAAAACACCUAGAGCGUGGUAAGAAGUUUUUUCGAUUUUGGGGAGUAUACGAGUAUACGUACCCACUCCCCCCUUUUUAAUGAGGGGGGACAGCUGAAUUUUUCUUUCGGUAAACUGCCUACGUACUCCUUGCGGAGAUCAAGCCGUCUCGUAGUUCAGUGAUUGCGGGUUGGUUCGUUUAGUGAUAGUAUUUUUUGAGAUACAUCGCGUUCCAGGUUCUAGGAAUUUUUAUGCCCUGCAUGUUGGCUAUUUCGUAAGAACCUGGUCGGACGACUUUUUCGAUUUUAUAGGGACCUUCCCAGUUUGCUCCGAGUUUUCCCGCGUUUCGUUCAGCGGUGUUUUGGAAAACUUUGCGAAGGAUCAGAUCCCCCAGAUUGAACCUACGAUUUCGUACGUUGGAAUUAUAGUAUUUUGCAGCGGCGUGCUGGUAGUUUUGAAUUCGGAUAAGCGCUCGAUCCCGGCGCUCGUUAAUGAGGUCGAGAUCAUCCAAGAGCAUAGCAUCGUUGAGUUCCUCUCAUUCGGGUAAUAACCUUCUUCGAACACCGGGAAAUUCAACUUCCGCGGGAAUCAUGCAUUCCGUGCCGUAUACCAGAGCGAAGGGAAUUUCUCCCGUUGCUCGCCUUGGGGUGGUACGGUGAGACCAGAGGACUCCCUCGAGUUCGUCGGCCCAUCUGCCUUUUUUGGCCUCUAAGCGUUUCUUCAGUCCGUCGAGAAUUGUCUUGUUGAUUGUUUCAGCCUGUCUGUUGCACUGCGGAUAUCUGGGAGUUGACUUGUUGAGUCGUAUCUUCCAUUUUUCGCAGAAUGCUUCGAAUCGGGUGGAGAUGAACUGAGACCCGUUAUCGGUUACGAUCUCGUAAGGAACUCCAUGCCUACAGAUGAUGUUUUUCCAUACGAAAUUCUCGACUUGGACGUCCUUUAUACUUGCGUACGAGUCCGCCUCUACCCAUUUUGAGAAAAAAUCGGUAAGGACUAGAAGGAAACGCUUUUGCUUUGAAUUAUGCAGAGGUCCGACAAUAUCCAUGGCCCAGCGCAUAAAGGGGUAGGGCGAUGUGAUGGAGGAAAGAACUUCGGCCGGUUGUCGGAUGGUUGGUGCAUGCCUUUGGCAUUUUUCGCAUUUUCGUGCGAAUUUUUCACAAUCUCCGAUCAUUGUCGGCCAAUAGUAUCCAUGGCGUUUGAUUUUCACGGCUAGGGAUCUCCCGCCGGAAUGGUUGCCGCAAAAGCCGGAAUGUAUUUCCUCCAUUACUUUUCUCGCCUUUUCUCCUUCCAGGCACGUCAUGAGUGGUCCGGAGAAUCUCCAUUUGUAGAUUUCGCCGUCCACUAUUACGUAGCGUGCGGCCUGUGUUCGGAUCUUGCGAGCUGCCCAUUUUUCGGCGGGUAGUUGCCCGUUGACGAUGUAGUCUCGAAUCGUCUGAAGCCAUGGGGUAUCACAGCCGUAAUCAGAUUGCUCUGAUGGUGGUGGUAUGAAAAUUUCUUCUUCGUCGUCUUGGCCUUCUAUGAGAUUGACGACGAUUGGUGGUCCGAUGCUCGGAUGUUCGAUGAACUCGACCGGAAUUACCCUUUUGAGUCCUGGAUCGGAACUUGAUGCUAGGGCCGCGAGGGCGUCCGCCUGGAAAUUCUCUGAAUGGGGGAUCCGCGUAAGGGCAAAAGAGUCGAAGUCUUGAGCUAGACCUUGGACCAAUUUGAGGUACGCGUCCAUCCUUUCGUCUCUGGCUUCAUACUCUCCGCUGAAUUCACUGGCCACUAACUGGGAGUCGCAGUAAGCGUGGAGAUUACGUAAUCCGUGAGCCAAACGCAGCCCUGCGAUUAAUGCCUCGUAUUCGGCCUCGUUGUUCGAGGCAUGGAAUUCCAGCCUGAACGAUUGUUCCAAGAUCUCGCCCGUCGGAGAGGUGAGACGGAUUCCGAUACCCGAUCCUUGCUUGGAUGAGGAUCCGUCGACGUGGAGGAGCCAGGUGGAAUUUGGUUCCUCAUUGGUUAUUGUUCCCGUUGGAAGUUCGACCAGGAAGUCUGCGAGCACUUGUGAUUUUGCGCUUGUCCUCGGUCGGUAUUCGAUGUCAUACUCGCUCAACUCGACCGCCCACUUAGCCAAUCGGCCUGAUUGACUUGGGCUAUGCAAAAUUGUCCGUAAGGGAAAAGUCGUGAGGAUGACAAUCGUGUGGGAUUGGAAAUAUGGUCUUAGUUUUCGGGCCGAUGUUACGACCGCGCAUGCCAAUUUUUCCAUCAACGGAUACCUAGAUUCGGCAUCCAGCAAGGUUUUGCUUAUGUAGAAAAUAGGUUUCUGCUCCCCGCGUUCUUCCCAGAUCAGGACUCCGCUUACGGCCGUUGCCAACACAGCGAUGUACAAGAAUAAAGGUUCCCCUUCCACGGGUUUUGCGAGGACUGGAGGGGUAGCUAAAUAGCGCUUCAACUGUUGGAAGGCGUUUUCGCACUCCUCCGACCAUUCAAAUUUUUUAUUUCCUCGCAGGACGUCGUAGAAGGGCAGGCACUUAUCAGUUGAUCGUGAAAUAAAUCGGUUGAGCGCUGCGAUUCUGCCGGUCAGUCUUUGGACUUCCCGCUUAUUCUUUGGUGAAGCCAUCUCGAUUAGUGCGUUGAUCUGUUUUGGAUUCGCUUCGAUACCGCGGUAUGUGACCAAGUAACCGAGGAAUUCCUCUGAUGCCACGGCGAAUCUACAUUUUGUCGGGUUGAGCUUCAUGUUAUGGGAAUUUAAUUGCGCAAAACACUCUUCGAGAUGUGACACGUGAUCUUUCGCUUUGAGGGAUUUGACGAGCAUGUCGUCGAUAUAAACCUCCAUCGUUUUUCCGAGUUGUUUGGAGAACAUUCGGUUUACGAGUCGUUGGUAAGUUGCACCGGCUUUUUUGAGGUCGAAGGGCAUUACCUUAUAGCAAUAAGUUCCGCGAUCGGUAAUGAACGCAGUCUUCUCGCGAUCGUCGGGAUUCAUCCUAAUUUGAUUAUAACCUGAGAAGGCAUUCAUGAAGGAUAAAAGUUCGUUGCCCGCUGUUGCCUCUACCAAUUGAUCGAUAUGUGGUAGAGGGAAGCUAUCCUUUGGACAUGCUUUGUUUAGGUCGGUAAAAUCCACGCAAACUCGUCACUUCCCGUUUUUCUUUUUGACUACUACAGGGUUGGCGAGCCUGUCUGGGUAUCUUACUUCUGUUAUCGACCCAACUUUAAGCAAUUUUUCGAUCUCAUCGUUUACUGCGGCAGCACGUUCGGGUCCUAGCUUCCGCCUUUUCUGCUUGAUGGGUUUGAAUGUUGGGUCGAUAUUCAACUCGUGACAUGUUAUGUUAAUGUCGAUCCCCGGCAUAUCUUCCGCAGCCCAUGCGAAUGUAUUGAGGUUCUUUUUAAGACAGGCUAUGAGUUCUGUUCUUAAAGGCUCGCGGAGAUUGGCUCCAAUCUCGACGCAGCGUUCCGGGAAGGCUUCGUCGAGACAGAUCGUCACCACGGGUUCGCAUGUUGGCUCACGUUUUUCGUCUAGGGCUGCGAUGCUGCGAGAUUGCCAGAAGAGUUCUGCUGAAUCUUGACCUCGUGUAUCUUUGCUGGAGGUCUUUUUCUCCACUUUUCUAGGAGUGAUCUCAAGGAUUGGUCUUUUUCGUUUCAGUUCCGCGGCGAAGCAAACCUGUGAGACUCUCGGAUUUCCCCAUAUUACCUCGACUCCGUUAGGGGUCGGGAACUUGAGGCAAAGAUGGUACGUUGAUGGGAUUGCGCGCCUUGCGUUUAGCCAUGGAGUCCCCAUGAUAACGUUGUAAGAUGCGGGAUGGUCAACGACUAGAAACUCUGUGACGUUCGUCACGGUUCCGGCUUUGACAGCGAGAUUAAUCGAUCCGUAAGCCAUGGUUAUUUCCCCCGAAAGUCCCAGCAGUGGGCUUGGGUAUUUUGUGACUUCGGAUUGAUUGAUCCCCAUUUUUUUGAGCGUUUCUUUGAAGACGAUAUCGGCCGAACUACCGGUGUCGAUAAGCACCCUAGCGACGUCGAUAUCUCGAAUCGUCAACUCGAGGACAAGGAGGUCGUUUCGAGGUUUGGCCCGAUCGACCGUUGCUCCCCCCUUGAAUGAGAUGACGUUCGCGCACGUCGAGUCUUGCAUAUCGUUUCUGAUCAUUGAGUGGCUUUUGCGGGUUAGAUUAAUCCGUACUGUUUCCCCCUCCUUCUAGCGCCAAACUGUGGGAACCGAAAUUCGCACUGUCGAUUUCCGUUUAAAUAAGGGAACUAGGAAAACCCUAAUUUCCCAGAGGACCCGGAUAUCUGCUAAUUACCACACGUCAAGCAAUCAGAACACAAGAAUAACAACGAUAAGAAUAAGAAAUCGAAAAAGAGAGCAAAGUAGAUCUUAUUCCGAAUCUGCGUAUGAGCGUUUACAACAAGGUAUAAGCCUGGGCUCGAGAGCUGUCGGCGAGAUUCCUAGUUCUAGCAACCCUAAGACGGCUAAACCUAAUUGAGUCGCAGCUCGAAAUAACAAAAACGGAAAAUUGCCUAAAUUGCUCUAAGUGCUAAGUUUGCUCUGAAAAGUGCUCUCUUCAUGCUCCUCGCCUAGGACUCCUUAUAUACUAGCUCCAAUGUCGGUUUACGCUUUUACUCUUCUGCCUUAAGCCGUCAUAGCAUAAAAAUGGAGAUAUUCCAUUUUCCCGAUCUUCCAAUUAUCUUCAAAACUUCCGCAUUUAUCCGCGGAAACUUGACAUUUAUCCUUCCUUGUGGACCAAGCGUAAUCCGUGCUGCGGUUUACGGGCUUUUGGUUAAGAAAUCGUAGGAUGGGCCUCGAGUCGUGUUUUAAAUCCCUUUGGGCCAUCUUACGACUCGACACGUUUACUACGAAUUCUUUUCGAUAAAGAACGAACUUUCUGCGGUUUCUAAUCCGCGAAGUUUUAUUGAUGGAUUUGAAUAGCGGAAAACAUGGACUGAGCUUGCUACGGUCUUCGGGAGAUAGCAUUCGAAGGUUUGACGAGAAUGCAUGGAUUGAUGUCGUAUCGAUUUUCGGAAGGGUUCAAUCGCUACACAGCGACUGAACUUCGGCUCGAGCCCGGUUGCUACGUAGCGACCGAGCGGGACGAUCGGUCGGUCGCAACAUAGCGACCGAGCUUUGGCUCGAGCUCGGUCGCUACGUAGCGACCGAGCGGGACGGACGUUCGGUCGCUGCGUAACGACCUGUUUCGAGCUUUUGUCGGACAUCUCGAUUCUUUCUUCCGUAAAGCUUUUUUUGUAAGGAAGAAUCUAUUUCGAAAAGUACUCUUCGGAAAAAUUCUUAUUUUUUUCCUCGGACGUUUUGAAUGUUAAAUUUGUCGUAACCGUUUUUGACCCCAACAGCUCUCCUCUGAUAUUCUUCCUGAGAUCAAUCCCUUCAUAAAGUUGCGCAUGGAGGGCAUCAUCUGGAUCGCAUCCAUCAAGGAGAGUCGGACGGUUAGGUCCUCCAACAUCUUUCUGCACUUCAUCUCCUCUCGGUCCUUACGAGUAGCCUUUGCUGGAACAGGGUAAGGGACUUUAGGAGUGUAUUCACGAGCAGGAACGGGCUUUGGGAUCGGACGGACAGCCUCAGCUGGUUGUUUUGGUCCUGGCGAAUUGGUUCCAACUGUUGGUUCCCUCUCCUUCUCAGCUGCCGGGGUAUCGGCUGGUGGUUGUUCUAACUCUUUCUGCUUCCCCUUCUCAGCCGCAGUGAACCUCUUCUUUACCGGUUCCGACAGUUGCUUUCCACUUCUCAGCUCAACCGCAUUGCACUCCUAAGGGUUUUUGUCGGUUUUCCCAGGUAGAGUACCUUGUUGCCUCUUGACGCUCUCAGCAGUCUGAGCAAUCUGAAUGUCUAUCAGUCUCAUAUGGCUCGCGACAUUGUCGUACUUGGUGCUCAAAUCGCUGAACAUAUGGUUCAUUCUGGUAUUGAUCUCGGUAGUAACCUGGUUUAGAGCCUUCCCUUGGAGUUGUUGUCCUUGGAGAAGCUGCUGCAACAUAGCUUUUGUCUCAUCUUGUGGAACAGCGACAGGAGCGGAGGUAGCUGGCUGAGUGUUCUAGUGUUUCUGCAUCUGAGGUGGAUUGUUAUGCGGUUGGCUUAGAACAUAGGUUCGGGGUUGGUAGUUCUUUUGAUACUCAGCAGUCUGAGCAAUAUGAAUGUCUAUCAGUCUCAUAUGGCUCGCGACAUUGUCGUACUUGGUGCUCAAAUCGCUGAACAUAUGGUUCAUUCUGGUAUUGAUCUCGGUAGUAACCUGGUUUAGAGCCUUCCCUUGGAGUUGUUGUCCUUGGAGAAGCUGCUGCAACAUAGCUUUUGUCUCAUCUUGUGGAACAGCGACAGGAGCGGAGGUAGCUGGCUGAGUGUUCUGGUGUUUCUGCAUCUGAGGUGGAUUGUUAUGCGGUUGGCUUAGAACAUAGGUUCGGGGUUGGUAGUUCUUUUGAUACCCGGCAUACUGACCUUGGUUACUCUGUGUAGGAUCAGCUGGUUUGUCUUGCUUAGGCCAGAAAAGCUGUGGGUUGUUCCUCACGUUAGGGUUUGGGUGGUAGUUUUUUGAGCUGCCAUCCUUGCCCAUUCACGUAGCUCACCUCUUGCUGAUCGCCUCCUGAUAUUUCAGCAUCAAACGCCAGGUCACCGACACUCUUCUCAGGAGCUGCUUCUUCCAUUAUGAACACUUGGCUUUGGUUUCCCUUAAGCAGUUGAUCCACCUUUGCAGCGAGAUUUUCUAUUUAAGCAGUUGAUCCACCUUUGCAGCGAGAUUUUCUAUGUUGUUCACACUCUUCGAGCGGUCAUGCUCCUUGUUCUUGUUUAGUGAACUUGAAGCCAUAUUCUCAAUCAGCUCGAACGAACCAGGUGUGGUUUGAGUCAUGAAAUCUCCAUUACUCGAAGAAUCAAGGGUGUUUCGAAACUCAUAGCUCACUCCAUCAUAGAACACCUCCAAUAUAUAUUCAUCGUCAAACCCAUGGUGCGGGCACUCUGUCUGGUACUCCUUGUACCUCUCCCAAGCUUUAUGAAAAGGUUCAUCAGACUUCUGCUUGAAAUUGGAGAUCAUGUGCCGUAAAGCCGCGGUUUUAGACUUCAUGUAGAAGUGGACCAGGUCCCAUGAGGUAAGAGAGUCGGUUGGCAGAGAUUGGAGCCAGCGAGAAGCUUUCCCUUCAAGAGAGAAUGGGAACAGUGUGCAUUUGACAUAGUCUGGUGGCACUCCGUUAGAGCGAGAGAAAUUGCAGAUUCUCUCAAAGGCUUCGAUGUGGUCCAUCGGGAUUUCAGUAGUGAGACCGCUGAACGUGCUCUUCUGUACCAGGCUUAUCAGUGCAGGUUUGAUCUCAUAGUCUUGCCGAGUGCAAGGAGGAGGGUUAAUGGGGGAGCGGUUAGUAGCGAAGUUCCGCGGAAGGUUCCGCUCUCCAAUAGGAGCACCACGCUCUUCUCGCGCGGCGUUCUCAGCUGCUUCUUGAGCAGCUUGUUGCUGAUUCUGGAUGGUCUGCUGCAUCUGCAACAUCUGUUGUUGUUGAGUCUGCAUUUGUUGUUGAAUGAUUGCCAGUGCAGCAGUGAGGUAAUCAUGAUUGCCGUGAUCACCCAUGUUGGUGUUGGUUGUUCUCGGCUGUUGACGGUUUUGUCUUUCUAAUCUUGCGAGUUCGUCGUUGGUUAGUUGAUGUAGUGGUCCUUGUGCGUUGCUCCGAGUAUGUCUACUGGUCAUGCACUUGGAUCAUCUGUUCCAACAAAGAAUUAAAAGCAAGUUAGAUAUCUCAGACUAAAUAUUAAACCAAAAAAUAAAGGUAAAAGCCUGGUCCCCGUCGCAACGGCACCAAAACUUGAUACACUAAAAAUGAAUCAUUGCUACUGUCAAGUUAACAGUGGUAAUUGCAAUAUUUGAGAUUCAAUCCAGAGGACCAGUUUACUCUUUACUCUUAUGAGUUCAAUAUUAAGCUGGGAAACAAGUGGGGUUUUAAAAUCAAUGGCGACGCAAGUAACUAGAAUACCUAGAGAUUUAAAUUCGAUUUAGAUGAAAGCCGGCGUAGGGUUGUUCAUCGGGUGUCAAUGCGGAACCAAACAACUAUUCAAGUGCAAUGAGGUGCAGUCUAGAACUCAGAUCACUCGGCUAGAACAAUCCACUAUCGUGGACUUGUUCCCUUUGCUGAUCGGUCUUGAGUCCUAAGCUCUCACAUGAAACAAGACGCGUAGCAAGCCUUAGAGAUCAGGUCCGAUUAGUUCACUUAAUACCCUAAUAUCUACUCUCGCUGAUUAGGGAUAUGAAGCUCAUUCAAUACAUGUCAAUUUAUCUCCUAAGCGGUUAGCUAGGUGAUUAAACUUGAGAUCGAACAUUAGGUGAUCAAUUCAAUGCAAGCAGUAAGAACAAUAUGAAUGAAGAACAAUUAAAAUCACUUAUUUGCGUUUAGCUCAUGCGAUUGACACCCUAAAACCCUAAGCAAGCUUAGCCGACUACUCAAUCAUAAAGCAAAGUGAUACAGACAUGAUUUCUCAAUAAUACUGCAUAUAAAAUAAAGUAGAAAGACAAGGGUUCAGGAUGAUCUUCUCGUGAAAAUGAGAGAUGAAGCCUUCUCCCUUCAAGUUGCUAAAUUGCCAAAAUAGUUCUAGGUUUCUUGCCAAAACAGCGUAGUCAAAAAGAAAUGAUAGGAUAGGCUUUUUAUAUGGAGGCGCCGGUGGUAAAGAGAGAAGAGAUGGAAUCUAGGGAAAACUUCCGAAAUCUUGGAAGUUUCCUUAGUGAUCGGGAACAGUCAGACACUUGUUCUCUUCGGGAACAACCUUCAGAUUGGUCUGACUGACUGUUCUGCGUCGGAUAUUCCAAAAUGACAUCUUUCUUCAUGGAACUCUCUUCUUUGCUCUUUCACCUGCUCAAAACCUAGAAUGAUAUCAAAUAAGCACGAAUUAGGACUGAGAAUUAACUCAAAGCACACAUAUAAUGGUAUUAAAAACACCAUAUAUCAUGUAACUUCCAUGUUUGGGAAUUCGAUUUUGUGAUAUCAUCCUUCGGGACGAGUUAGAUUACGAAAUCAGCUAACACUUGUGCUUUUGAGCUCGUUCGCGGUUUAUAUUCGAUAUCAUAUUCGCUGAGUUCGAUUGCCCACUUCGCCAAUAUUCCUGAUUGGCUUGGAUUGUGGAGUACUGUCCGUAGGGGUUGCGAUGUCAUGACCGUGAUUGAACGCGACUGAAAAUAAGGUCUUAAUUUUCGGGCUGCGGUUACUGCUGCUAGCGCUAGUUUCUCCAUCACCAUCACGGGGUACCUGGUUUCGGCGUCUACCAACGAUCUACUUACAUAGUAUAUUGCUUUUGCUCUCCGCUUUCUUCGCGAAUUAGCACUCCGCUUACUGCGUGUUCGGAGGUUGCUACAUACAAAAAGAGGGUCUCUCCUAUGAUUGGUUUUGACAGAACGGGCGGUUCGCUGAUAUAUGUCUUAAGCUCUUUUAGGGCGGAGUCCCAUUCGGUGUUCCAUUUGAACUUCUUGUUUCCUUUCAGUAGCUUGUAGAAAGGGAGGCAUCUGUCGUUUGAUCUAGAGAUAAAGAUCCAUUCGAACUUGUUGUUUCCCUUCAGUAGGUUGUAGAAAGGGAGGCAUCUGUCGGUUCAGCGCAGCUAUUUUACCGGUGAGGCGCUGUACUUCUCGGAUCGAUACUUGAGGUAAGGUAUCGAUGAGCGCGGCGAUCUGUUUCGGGUUGGCCUCGAUUCCCCUUUCGGUUACAAGGUAUCCGAGGAACUCUCCGGAGGCCACUCCGAAAGUGCAUUUUGUAGGGUUCAGUUUCAUCCUGAAAUUAUUAAGAAUGUUGAAACACUCUUGGAGUUGUAGAAAAAUGGUCAUUGACUUUUGAUGACUUUACUAGCAUGUCGUCUAUGUAAACCUCCAUCAUUCUUCCAAGUUGUGUGGAGAACAUUUUAUUUACUAGCCUUUGAUAAGUAGCUCUGGCGUUCUUUAGCCGAACGGCAUUACUUUGUAGCAAUAGGUACCCCGCUCGGUGAUGAAGCUAGUUUUUUCCUGGUCGUCGGGAUUCAUGAGGAUCUGAUUGUAACCAAAAAAUGCAUCCAUGAACGAAAACAAUUCAUGAUCGGCCGUGGCUUAUACCAGCCGGUCGAUAUGCGGUAAUGGGAAACUAUCUUUUGGUCAUGCUUUGUUGAGGUCGGUGAAAUCGAUACACACUCUCCAUUUUCCAUUUUUCUUUUUUACUACGAUUGGGUUUUCGAGCCAGUCAGGGUAUUGGACUUCACGAAUAGAACCGAUUUUUAGGUGCUUGUCCACUUCGUCGUUUGCUGCCUUGGCUCGUUCGGGUCCUAGUUUCCUUCGUUUCUGCUUGACAGGCUUAAACGUAGGGUCGACGUUUAGGUCAUGUGAGGUGAUAUUGAUGUCGAUUCCGGGCAUAUCUCCCGCAGACCAUGCAAAUGUCUUAAUAUUUUGCUUGAGGAAAGAUACGAGGUCGUUCUUGACUUCAGGAGGGAGAUCGUUCCCGAUGUUGACGCCUUUUUUGGGGGAGCUCUCGUCUAGGGCGACGACGCUCGAUAGAUCUUUGGCGGGGUCUUUUACUGAGAGGUCGCGUGCGAGUGGGAUAUUCUCCUCCUUCUGCGGCAUUUUUCGGAAUUCGGACAUGUAACAGGCUCGGGCUUGUUUUUGGCUUCCGAGUAUGGUUUUCUCGCUGGUUGAGGAUAAAAACUUCACGCAUUGGUUAUAAACCGAGGCGAGCGCCCUCAUCUGGUGCAACCAGGGGCGCCCUACGAUGGCGUCGAAAGGCAUAAGAUGACUGACUACGGUGAAUUCUGUUUUCAGUUCCAGAUCAUGAGUUCUGGUGGUUAAUAAUAUGAUCCCGAGCGGACGAACCGACUUUCCUUCGAAGCUAGCGAGGGGAGUCGCUUCUUGUUUGAUAAUUGGGAUCGGUUGCUUGAGGGACCGUAGCGUUUUUUGCGAGAUGAUGUCGACAGCGCUUCCGGUGUCGACGAGGAUUUUCAAGAAGACGAUCCCUUCGACUUCCAGUGCGAUCACCAAGGCAUCGUCGUGGGGCUUAUCGAGCUUUAUAGUUUCGUGCUCGUAGAAAGUCACGAUUUUUCCUUUUUGUAUCGUAUCUUCGCAGGCGAUGUUGGUGGAAUCGUCGGUCGCUUCUCGCGAAGUGCAUGAUUGCUCGUUGAGAGCAUUAACUUUUCUCGAUGCGAUCGGCUUCAUCGAUCUGAAGAGGUCGAGAUUGAUUGAUUCGGCGCAGUCGGAUCGGAUUGGGGUAGGUUCAAUAGUCGCGCUUAGGAAACUUAGAUUGGUUUCUUAGCAAAGAUGUUUUUCGUUUAUCUUCCCCACAGUCGGCGCCAAAAUGUAGAACCUAAAAUCUACACUAAGUAUUUGAUAGUGAUCGGGGUUUGAUCUAGGGAAGAAAAAUGAUGUAGGCAACGAUAUCUUUAGAACACAGCGAUGUUAAACAGUUUCCAGUAGGUAAAAAUGGAUUUUAUUGAUGAAUAAGAUCGAAUACAAUGAGUUGAACUAGAUCGAAUGAUACAAACGAGAACCGUAAAGAAAAGAGUCUAAGAUGGGGAGGAAACAAGGUCGAUAUUAGUGUGUAGCUCUCUCUAGGGUUUUCAACGUGUCAUUCUUCAUGUCUCUCCUUUUUUUAUACUAAGUCGACUUUGUGAUCUCCGUAACAGCUCUGUGAUCUCCGGGACUACUCCGCGAUCUCCGGGACUACUCCGCGAUCUCUGGGACCUCGACUCCUUCGCUUUCGAGCUUGAUUGCUUGCUAUGGACUUCGGUUCCUUAAGGCCUAUAACUUUGAUCGCGGCUCGUUAACGUUUUGACCGAAAUUGGGUCCAACAAUCGCUAAGACAGAUUUUUACCCCAACAACUGCCGUGACAAAAGCUGGUGUACAAACAUAACCGAGAACUUUUGGUCCCCCAUCAUCAUAACUUAACGGAAUUUUGAAUCUGCCAACAUCUCAUGUUGCUCAUCUGAUAGAGCUUUCUUUAUUGCCUUAAUCCAUCGCAAGUUGUUUGAGGUUAUCCGUUUCCGACCUGAUGGUUUGAACCCGGUCUGAAAAAUGCGCUUAGGUAAGUCUAACUCUUUCAUUCUACAAUAUAGGAAAACAAAACAAUUAAUGCGGGAAACCAGACAUCAUGGACAAUUGUACUAUUAUAUAAUUAGUUUCAUUAAAGUAUAGUUUGCAGAAGUACGGUUGCUUACAAUUUCAAGAUAUUCUUUUUUUUAACACCACGAAUUCAGGAUAUUCAUGGUAUAAAACACCAGUUAAAUUCAAACUUGUGACCUCAAAACAAGAGGAAUAAAAAAAAUUACUAUACAAAUGCCAUAUGCUGCUGAUACAUACAUACUUGUGAACCUCCAGUUACGUGGAGCAAGUAUUCAACAUUAUAGCAAAAAACUUAUACUAAUAUAAGGUAAGUCUAACUCUUUAGUUCUACAAUAUAACAAUUAAUGCGGAAAACCAAACAUCAUGGACAAUUGUACUACUAUAUAAUUAGUUUCUUUAAAUUAUAGUUUGCAGAAGUACGGUAGCUUACGAUUUCACGACAUUCUUUUUUUUAACACCACGAAUUCAGGAUAUUCAUAGUAUAAAACACCAGUUAAAUUCAAACUUCUGACGUCAAAACAAGGGGAAGAAACACAGAUUAAUAUACAAACGCCAUAUGCUGCUGAUACAUACAUACUUGUGAACCUCCGGUUACGUGGAGCAAGUAUUCAACAUUAUAGCAAAAAACGUAUACUAAUAUGCAGCGGCGGAGGCAGAAUUUUAUUUUAGAGGGGUCAAUGUGAUAACAAAUGUAUUUUGCAAGGGUCAAUAAGCUAAAUUUAUCAGAUUUUUCUUUGGAAAUACAAGUAAAUUUUUUUUUUCAAAAAUUGACAUGGGUCAAUUGACUCUCCUGAUUGUACAUUGGCUCCGCCACUGCUAAUAUGAGAGACCAAGAAAGUGCACUAACAUAGUAUAUUGCAAUGAAACACAAAUCUAUCACUGCAUCACGUUGUACAUAGUUUAGAACCUUAAAAGCCGUCCAAAAAAGAAUAACAACCAUCACUAUAUAUAGAAUACAUAUAAUGCAGACACAACUAUACUAUAUUUGUAAGCUUUCUAUCACAUACAGUACCCCACAAAUUUGUCAAUAUACCUUUCCAACCUAAUUUUUUUGAAGUAACAUAUUGUACUACCACAUUUCCAUGACACAGUAAAACAAUCUGCAACAACGAAUACGAUAGUACUAAUAGCAUAUCUCCUUACGAUAUACAGGAAGUUGCAUCUAUUCUACAAAUUCCUCAAGAUAUGCUUAUUAUAGAUAGGGAACUGCAAAACUACAUACACACACGCAAAGGUUACUACUCAAUGUAAACGUGUAGUAAAUACAUAGUUCUAAAUAUUCACCAAAUAAAGUGAACUAACUAUUUUCAAUGGGAUUCAUGAGUAGUAUAGUACAGCCUCCACCCAACAGAAAUUACACAAUUCCGAGACACCGCAUCAUAUUUCCAACACUCGUUUUGAUACAUCGCCAUACCUAACAAGUACAUUGUAAUCUAUAUGUAUUUGUACAGCUAACCUUAUUAGUGAUCAAUUUUACUCUUCAAAUAUGUUUCGCUGGAAACACUUGUCAGAAACUAUUCUUGUCCCCCGGUUUGAUGCUCCAACACACCAAAUCUGCGGUGAGUCAUCACUUUCAAUCCUGGAUUAAAUCUCAAAUUUUUGGCUUCAUAACAAUUUUCCAAAACGUAAAGGCACAAAAUUCUUACCAAAAUGUUGGGUUCUGUCGAUUAUGUGGCACAUCUUGUAACAUCCCGGUUUGUGGUAUAAGAGAAUUAAUUUGGAUAUAUAUGUCACCAAAGUGCACUUAUAACUCUCUCUCUCUCUCUCUCUCUCUCUCUCUCUCUCUCUCUCUCUCUCUCUCUCUCUCUCUCUCUCUCUCUCUCUCUCUCUCUCUCUCUCUCUCUCUCUCUCUCUCUCUCUCUCUCUCUCUCUCUCUCUCUCUCUCUCUCUCUCUCUCUCUCUCUCUCUCUCUCUCUCUCUCUCUCUCUCUCUCUCUCUCUCUCUCUCUCUCUCUCUCUCUCUCUCUCUCUCUCUCUCUCUACCCACGUUUUGAACUGAUCUUGGUGUGGUAUGAUGUAUGGAAAUGAAGGAAGGGACCUUGGUAUUUAUAGAAAGCUGCAGCCAGUAAGGACAGGCCACACGGCCGACCAUGUGUCAGUCUGCAUGCUUCUGGUCGCAUGCGCGUCGACACACGGUACAGACAUGGCUGGAUUCAUGUCUCAUACUCAUGCAUGAUGACACUCCUGGUCCACAUGGCUUGUUGCAUGAAUGAAGUGCAUGCAAGGUGACACGUCAUCUCCACAUGGCUGGCCGCAUGCUUCGAUUACAUGUGUGGCGACAUGUCAUGUUGCUACAUAGCUGGCUGCAUGUUCCUUUCGCAUGAAAGCGACAUGUGCUUCUGUAGACUCAUACCUUGCCAGUCAGCUGCCUGCACGUUCUGAUCCCUUUCAUCGAGCCUCGUGCUUCUCGGUCCAUUCGCAUGAUUUUGACCCUUUCGGUAUAUUUUGAACCCGCGAUCAAUCCCGAAUAUUUUGGAUCCGCGAUCGAUUCCGAAUAUUUUCCACACCCAUUCUGAUGAACUGAAUAUUUUUAAUAAACUCCAGACUGAAUUCUAACCGUGACGAUAAAUAUUUCCCUUAGAUUUUUUCGUCGUGCUUACUUCCUGUCGUGAUUACUUCCCUUCCUGCUUGUUUCCCGUCCUGCUUCCAACUUAUUAUGUUUCCAACAUAAUAUUUUAUUAAUACGACGUUCUUCCAAAAACAUCGAGCUUCAAAAACAUCGUGCUUCUAAAACGUCGUGCUUCAAAAACGUCAUGCUUCCAAAAUGUCUUUCUUUGAUCUACCACAUGGUCGAGUGACCUAAUCAACUCAUGGUUCAUAUAAGAUCACUUCUUCGAUCCUACCGACAUAUUCAUAGUUCAAAACUUCCCAAUUGCUCUGGUCGCCCGCGAAUCGACCACCAAUCGUAGAUGCUCGUCCAACUUAUGUUUUUCUCUGAAUAAUGUGAAGUUUUAUGUGAUCAAAACUUAACAUCCUCAUAAUACUCUGAUUCCCGAAAGCUUGGCUCCGAAUUCCAACUUGUCGAUCUCGACCAUCUUACCUCUUUGGGAGGGUUACUACACCACCCGUCACACAAAAUGGUGUCCACGGGCCAAGAGAGCGGGCAUGGGGGGCCUAUUAGCCAGGGUUAGUUAGAGCGUUACAAGUGGUAUCAGAGCUGGUUAGCCAUUUCGGUUCUGACCUGAGAGGCAUCUUGAGACCUACCGUGUUGCGAAACGAGGACGUUUCAUUCUGUGAGAAGGGAUGAAUUGUAACAUGAUCCGGGUUUGUGGUAUCUGUAAAGGUUUAAGAAAAUUGAUUUGGCCUACCUAUGUCAACAAAGUGCACUUACCUUUUAUGGUACACUUUCCGUUUAAAAGUUCAGAGUUAAGCGUGCUUGAGCUGCAGUAGUAGAAGGAUGGUGACCUAUCGGAAAAGAUUUGCGAUAUUGUGCGAGUGAGGCCAAAGCACGGGGAAAGGUCAUGUAGUUAUUGCAGGGUCAGUAAACAUGAUUUUUGAGCCUCUGAAAAAUUAAUGCACUACCAGUCGCACGAAAUGGAACCUACGGGCCGAGAGAGCGGAUGUGAAAAGCCUAUUAUCCAUGGGCGGUCGGAGCGUUACACAUCUAUUGGAAACCGCCGUCACCCCGUCAAUCGCCUCCACUGUCGCUAUUUUCGUUUUCUCAUUCUCCACACUUAACUUUUUUUCUUGUCAAGCUGUAAAAGAGGUGCGGCUUUGCUUUUGUCUCAAGCAACACUGGUCAAAUCAUUCUCUUUCACGUAGGUAAGGAUAAUAUCAUCUUUUUUACUUCACAAUAUAUAGUACAUCAUACACUCUAAAUUUGUUAUGGGUAUAUACACCUAAAUACAGUUUUUCUUUUUUUUUUUUUUUUUUUAAUUUAAAUAAAGUUUUUUUUNNNNNNNNNNNUUUUUUUUUUUUUUUUUUUUUUUUGUAACUUAAAUACAGUUUUUCUUUUGCGUAAUAUAUCCAAUUUCUCUUCUUUUAUUCCCAAAACUGAGUAUCAAGCAAGAUCAUAAUUCAGGCUACAUGUUAAUCACAAUGUAAAAGACAUGCAAUUGAAUGAUGAUUGAGUCAGAUAUAUAGUAUUAUGCAAUCUUGAUAUUUCAUUAUGAUAUCAAAGCUUUAACUUAGGCUGUCGGACAUAUGAUUAUAUGUUAAUGAAUGAAUGAAAGAGCCAUAUCAGUAGUUGGAGUCUUGGAGACAUAAUUAACAAAUAUAUAAAUGGUUGGAAUCUCGUGAUAAGCCCUAAUACAUGGUAUCAGAGCCAUUUGAUGCUGGGCCACUCUGUGGAUGUUGUUCCUACAAUUUUCAACGCUUGAGCGUGAGAAGGACUGAUAAUAAAUGAACCAAAGUCUCACGACGGUAGUUAAAGAAUUAAGAAAUUAAAAUAUAAAAGAUUAAAGCAAAUCCAAUUAUCGUCAAUUGGUUUUAAGUUUAAGAAAAACUUGAAUUUAAUAUAGUAUAAGCCACCCGAUGUUGGACAAUUUCAUGGAUGUUGUUUUCACAAUUGUCCGCACUUGACCUUGAGAAACAGUGUUAAAGAAAGAUUUCCACAGCAGUAGUUGAAGAAUUAAUAAACUAACAUAUAAAUGGUUUAGUCAAUCCAUUUAAAGCUAUUUAAUUUUAAGUUUGAAGUUCAUGAUUAUUUCAACAAACACCCGAAUUUAAAAUUACAUUUCAAUAAACAUAAUUAAUAUGCAUAAUUGUGAUGGUAGUGUUCGAACUAAUGGAAUGAUCUGUUUUUCGAUUUAUCCAUAGUAAUUUCAGAAAUGUAAAAAGUGUUUUAAUAUCUUUUUUUGUUUCACGAAUUCCUCGAGCAAACAACAUAUAAGCAUACAAGUUAUAGAAUGAAGUGUCGUGUACAACCGUUUCAUGAGGUAAAACAAUUGAGUUGGGUGUGCUUCUACAUGACGUCGACAAACAGGAAUGGUUGAAAUAUGAUUUACGAUUUGAGGGAUGAUAAGCAUAGAAUAAGAUAAUGCUAAUGCUUUUGUUUUUGUACUGAUAAGGGUGAAAGUGAAACUGAGGGAUAAUAAGUAUGGAAUGAGACUGUUGACACGAAGAGAAUAAAGUAUAAAGAUAUAAGGCUGAAUGAAUCUUUUAUUAGACAUGUACAAAGUAUUUAUACAGUAGUACAAGUAGGUUAAACCGUAGAGUUAUGUAUUUACAUAUAGAUCCUUUUAGUAUAAGAUAUUUCCUUAACACGCCCCCUCAAGAUGGAGGAACCUUGGUGACACCAAUCUUGGCUCGUAAGUUCUGGAACUGGUUUCGUUGUAGAGGUUUGGUGAAGCCAUCAGCUAGCUGAUCAUGCGUGGAGACAUGAGUGACUCGGAGAGCAUGGGACUGGAUCUGACUGCGAACAAAGUGAUAAUCAAUCGCAAUAUGUUUCAUGCGAGAGUAAAACACAGGAUUGGCGCACAAGUACGUAGCACCAAUAUUAUCACAAUACACGGUAGGUGCAGAGGAAAGAUUGACGCCUAGCUCAGUGAGCAGCGAGCAUAUCCAUCGGACUUCUGCGGCCGUGUUGGCUACGGCACGAUACUCAGCCUCAGUAGAUGAGCGAGCAACUCCUUUCUGUUUCUUAGAAGUCCAAGACAGAGGUUGAGAACCGAGGUAGACAAUAUAGCCAUUGGUGGAGACAUAAUCAUCGCUGUCUCCAGCCCAGUCGGCGUCGGAGAAGGCAUGAAGAAGAGGAGCGGACUGUUUGCGUAGGAGAAUGCCAUGAGUAAGAGUACCAGAGAGAUAACGCAAGACGCGUUUCACCGCGUUCCAAUGAUCCACCGUAGGUCUAUGCAUGAAUUGCGAGAGACGGUUGACCGCGUACGAGACAUCAGGACGAGUAAGGGCGAGGUACUGAAGACUUACGACGACGCUUCUGUACUCAGCAGGAUUAGACAGUGGAGAACCCGAGUUCAAGGUGAGCUUGGGAGACGACGGAAGAGGGGUCGCAACAGGCUUAGCAUGAAGCAUAUUAGUCUUGUGUAGCAGGUCAGUGACAUAUUCCGUUGCAUUAGGUGUAACCCUUGUGGUGUUCUUGUAGCUUCGAUUCCCAGAAAAUAACUCAGAUGUCCCAUGUCUUUGAUAGAGAAUUUUGCGGCCAGAGCAUCAAUUACCUGUUGCACAAGGUCUGUGCUUGUGCCCGUGACAAGAAUGUCAUCAAUGUAUACCAAGAGGUACACAAACUUGCCCUCAUGGCGCAGUAUAAAUAGAGAUGUAUCUGCAAGUGAGUUCUGGAACCCAACACUGAGUAGGAAAGAUUUAAGUUCAGAGUACCAAGCACGAGGAGCCUGUUUGAGUCCAUAAAUUGCUUUCCGCAAACGACAGACAUGUGAGGGACGAUCUGAAUCAGUAAACCCAGGUGGUUGGCACAUGAAGACCUCUUCAUCGAGAUGACCUUGUAAAAACGCAGUGUUGACAUCUAUUUGCCGUAUUGGCCAGUCAGAGCUAACGGCAAGACCCAAGACUAACCGAAUGGUAGUUGAUUUAAUCACCGGGCUGAAGGUAUCAUUAAAGUCAAUCCCAGGUUGUUGAUGAAAGCCUUUAGCCACGAUUCGUGCCUUGUAACGAUCAAUGCUACCAUCUGGAUUAUAUUUAAUGGUGAACACCCAUCGACAGCCCACAAUAUUCAUCUUGCGAGUAGCUUCUACAAGGUCCCAUGUAUGGUUCUCAUUAGUAGAGUUGAACUCCCUAGACAUUGCUUUGCGCCAGCGCUCAUGUUUGAUGGCAUGUUGCCACGUAGAUGGGAUCCAGUGAGGAUCAGAUUGAAGUUCAACAUUGAGAUUAUAUUUUGAAGUCGGCUUGACAAUGUUGUUCCUCGAUCUAGUGGUCAUGGAAUGUCGAGGAGGAGGUUGAACUUCAGGUACUGGAACAGGAGAAGGCACUGUAGGUUGCAGCAGAGGAGCCAAAACAGGGCCUGGCGAGCCUGUAGUUGCAGGUGCUGAAGAACCCGUAGGAGGUGUAGGUGCAGGAACAUGCACAGGAGAUGAAGUAUCACACGCAGAAGUCUGAUUGUUCACUGCCGUUUGAGGAGAGUGUAUGAGUGAUGGCGCUGGUAUGACUGUGUGAGGUUCAUAGGGGACAGUGGGUGGCUGGGAUGGGGUUGGUGAGGUCGGUUUAGUUAGGGAAUGAGAAGGGAACUCUGUUUCAUUAAAGCGAACAUGUCUUGAGACAUAGACACGUCCAGAAACUGGUUCUAAGCAAAGAUAGGCACUCUGAGUGAGAGAGUAUCCUAUGAAGACACAAGGUAAGGAUCUGUUUUCAAGUUUAUUGGGAGCAUAAGGUCGUAACCAUGGAUAGCACAAGCAGCCAAAGGUUCGGAGUUUAAGGUAGUUGGGAGGUGUCUGGAAUAGUUUUUGAAAUGGCGAUUGGUUAAGAAGGACUGGAGUUGGCAUUCUAUUGAUAAGAAAGACAGAGGUUGCAAAGGCUUGGGGCCAAAAGGUGAGAGGCAGGCUUGCGGCAGAGAGAAGAGAAAGGCCGGUUUCAACAAUAUGGCGAUGUUUUCUCUCUGAGAGACCAUUGAGCUCAGGAGUAUGGGGUGGUGUGGUUAGGUGACUGAUUCCAUGAGUGGCGAGGAAUGAUCUUAAGGAUAGAAACUCGCCCCUAUUAUCAGAGAAAAGGGUUUGUAUUUUGGUUUGGAAUCGGUUUUCAACAAGGGGUUUGAAAGAGAUGAAGAUGUUUUUGACUUGGGAUUUGGCUGUUAAAGGAUAGAGCCAGGUGUAUCGAGUGUAAUGAUCAACCAAGACAAGGUAAUAUUUGUAGUUCUGGGAAGAAAGAAUAGGUGAUUGCCAUACAUCACUAAAAACGUAUUGAAGUGGUUUGGUUGAUCGGAUAGUAGUCUCAUGAAAAGGGAGCUUAUGCGUUUUAUUAAGUAGGCAAUCAUUGCAAGGAAAAGCACUUGAAGAGUGUUGAAAACAAGGUAAUGAAAAUUGAGAAACAACAUUUUUGAGAAUAGAAGAAGAGGGGUGGCCAAGUCGCCUAUGCCAUUGGGUUAGGGUAGCUUUGGUAUCUGGAUAGGACACAUAGCUUGCAGUUGGGUUCAGGGACGACCAGGGCCACUCAUACAACUCAUUCCUCGUGCGGCCUUGAAGCAACCGGACCCCCGUGUUGAGAUCCUUCACCUGAAAAUGAGCAGGAAAGAAUUCCACAGAAACGCGAUUAGUAUUGCAAAGCCGGUAAACCGAAAUGAGGUUUUUAUGAACACUCGGAACACAGAGUAUGUUGUUAAGAGCAAGCGACUUAGAUGGCGUAGGAAAAAGAGUAGAACCAGUAUGAGUUAUAGCAAGACCUGAGCCAUCAGCAAUGGCAACUUCAUCACCACCAUGAUAUGGUUGAUGUAACGCCAAGUUGCUCAAAUCGGAGGUCAAGUGGUGAGUAGCUCCGCUAUCGAGGAUCCACUGGUUUGGAGUAUAGGCAGUGGCCUGAACCAUGUUCGCGCGAGGUUGCCAUGGAGUUGGAGACGCCUGUUAUUGAGAGUAGGUGCUUCCGUGUGGCGCAAGUUGCAAGCACCUGCGAGCACUAUGGCCAAAGACGCCACAGAGCUGGCACUUUCCUUGAUAGCCUCCACGUCCUGCAGGUUGAGUUGGCGACGGGUUGAGCUGUUGCUGCUGCUGCCAAGUUUGGUUUCCACGGUAGCCACCACGUCGUGAGUUCUGGUUGCGAGUGUUGUGCGAACCAGAGGAACCGCGGUGAUUGGUGUAGUUGGCAGUGACCGGUACUGGGGAGAGAUCCUGCUUCGAGAGUUGAAGUUUAGUUUCAUGAUUGAUGAGCUUUUCAUGAAGCUCCGUAAGAGACGGAGGAGUAUCACGCGCAGCAACUUGAUCAACAAUGAUCUUAUAGUCUUCAGGCAGACCGUCAAGCAGCUGUUCAAUCUGGUCCUCAUGAUCGAUAGCUUUCCCAAGCAAGGCAAGUUGAUCAUAUCUUGUUGUUAGACCUUGGUAGUACUCAUCAAUAGACUUAGUACCUUUGGUCCAGUGUUUCAGUUGCUGUCGUAGCUGAUUGAUAUGUCCCCGGCUGGGCUUCGCAUAGGUCGAGGAAAGUGUGGUCCAGAUCUCAGCCGAAGUAGUGGUCGUAGAGAGAAGAGGCUGUAGCGUGGCGGUCAUAGCACCAAGAAGAGCGCUGUAGAUGAGACGAUCUUGUCGUUUCCACAGAGUGUACCGCGGGUUGAUGACGAUCUCAGCAGCAUCAUUGGUUAUCGUCUCAGGCGGAAUCUCAAGAGAGCCAUCAAUGUGGCCCGCGAGAUCAUAUCCUUCGAGAAGAGCAUGAACCUGACGGCUCCACAUGAGGAAAUUGGAAGCAGUAAGCUUCGUGACGUUUGUCAUGUUGAUGUUCAGCAGUGUGGUGGAGUUCGAAACCGUGAUAGUUUCGGCAAUGGAUGCUGGUGAGGAGGUAGAUCCAGACAUCGUGGUUUGAGAAGAAAAAGAAAAAGGAAAAUUUGAAAAGAGAGGGAUGGCGGCUUAGGUUAAUUAACCUGGCUCUGAUACCAUAUAAAGAUAUAAGGCUGAAUGAAUCUUUUAUUAGACAUGUACAAAGUAUUUAUACAGUAGUACAAGUAGGUUAAACCGUAGAGUUAUGUAUUUACAUAUAGAUCCUUUUAGUAUAAGAUAUUUCCUUAACAUAAAGAGCAAGAGUAAAGACAUGAAGAACCUGAUUGAUCCUGGACAGGAAAUCAUGGACAGGAAAACUGAAGCAAGGAAAGGUGUGAGAUUUAUUUAAAUAUCUUGCCUGAAGUCUUAGACGAAUUUAAACAAGUGGAGGCAACUGGAUAGAGCUGUUGGAGUGUGGAAACAAACCAAAGUCACAUGAUAUGCUAAGGAAGGAAGAGAGAAGAGAGUUGUCACUAUCCGAAAGUGACUUCCACAAAUAUGGUCUUCAUUAGUUCAUUCAUCUCCAUUUGUUUAUUCAUUCUCAUUGUCUUAUUCUCCUUGUUAGAUCUAUUUAUGUAACUAUUGUAUACACUAAAUCAAUUUAAGGAAAAAUGUUUCUCAAAUAUUCUUAUCUCUCUCUCUUGGAUUCCCUCACAUAUCUCUCUUAGUUCUUCACCAAAAUCUCUCAAAUAAUUCUCAUAAACUCUCAUUAAUUCUCAUAAAUUUACAUGGUAUCAGAGCUACAAGCUCUUGAAACCUAAAUCUCUUCCGCAAAUUACUCUGAUUUUAUUUCUCUUUUUCUCUUUAAAACCUCUUAUCAUUCACACCAGUCUCUCUCCUCUGUUCUUGAACUGUUCUUGAAUUUUUCUAGUUCUGUUCUUGUGACUCUUGAUGGAUUCAAGAGAAAACUUAAAAAUGGUGGUGAUUCCAGUUACUCUUAAAGGAGCUAACUAUCUACAUUGGGCAAGGCUUGCUAAGACAGCUCUUGGAGGCAGAGGGCUUUGGGAGAUUGUUGAAGAAGUCAGGCCACAAAAGAAGACUAUCCUAGGAGAGGAUGGCAAAGAGGUUGUUCUUGCUGAUGCUGGCGCCAAGAAAAAAUGUCAAGAGGACCAGUUGGUGUUGUCCAUUCUUCAGAACAGUCUUGACCCCUCACUUCAGGAAGGUUACUCCUAUUGUGAAACUUCCAAGGAGUUAUGGGAUACACUUCAGAAGGUGUAUGGAAACAAUUCCAACAUCAGUAGAGUCUUUGAAGUCAAGAGAGCUAUCAAUACUCUUAGUCAAGAGCACAAUGAUUUUGAUAAACAUUUUGGGAAGUUCAGAUCCUUUUGGGCUGAACUUGAUUUGCUCAGGCCAGAAACUAUUGAUCCUGAUGUGCUUAAUCAAAGGAGAGAGCAAGACAAGGUCUUUGCUUUGCUGCUUACCCUCCAUCCAAGCUAUGGUGACCUCAUCAAGCACAUCCUAAGGAAUAAGGAGCUACCUUCUCUAGAUGAGUUAUGCUCUGAGAUUCACAAGGAGCAAGGCUCAGUUGGUCUCUUUGGAGGAGGAAAGAAAGAUUUGGUGCUUGCAAACCAAGCUGAUGGAGCAGCAAACAAAAGCUCUUACAAAGCUGAAGACAAGAAGGUGUGGAUUUGUGAUCAUUGCAAGAAGAAAGGCCAUGGAAAGGACAAGUGCUGGAUACUCCAUUCUCAUCUCAAGCCACAGAAGUUCAGGACAGUUUACAAUGAUGCCUAAGCAAACUUCUCUGGUGAUAUUGGUGAGCCAUCUAUACAAGGCAGCAUGCGCCAGACCAAUGAAGCUUGUGAGAACAAAGGGGGAGCUUCCAGGAGUGGCCCAGCCUUAAGGAACACUCAAGAUGAGACUAUCAGGAGAUCUGAUAUUGAGGCUCUCAUCAAACUCCUUAAGGAUAACUCUGGUAACUUACUUGGUACCUCUUUACAUGCUACUGCUUGUGGAACUUCCUUGAAUGCGAUAACUAAAUGUAAUUUGGCAAAACCUUUAGUUAUAGAUUCAGGAGCUAGUCACCACAUGAUCAGUGAUUUAAAAUUGAUUAAAAACAUUGUUCCUACCUUAGGAAAUGUUACAAUAGCUAAUGGUGAAAGAGUAUCAAUUAAAGGAGUAGGUGAUUUUAGGUUGUUUAACAAAGAUUCUAAAGCUUUUUAUAUGCCUAGCUUCACCUCAAACUUGUUAUCAGUUAAAAGAGCUACUAAUGACUUGAAUUGCAGUGUUACUUUCACUCCUAAUGAUGUCUACUUUCAGGAUAUUGAAACUAGUAGGUUGCUUGGCAAAGGUGUCACCAAGGGAGACUUGUACUUGCUUGAAAAUACUAAGCUUGCUGCCGAUUUAUCUCAUGCUUUAAAUUCCAUUUCCGAUUUCCCUAAAGAUGUAUUGUGGCAUGCUAGAUUAGGACAUCCCCAUUCUAGAGCUUUAAACAUCAUGUUGCCUAGUAUUUCCUUUAAGAGUGAUUGUGAGGCUUGUAUCUUAGGAUAACAUUGCAAAUCUGUUUUCUCUAGACCAAGUACUAUUUAUGAAAAUUGCUUUGACCUGAUUCAUUCUGAUGUAUGGACUGCCCCAUGUUUAUCUAGAGAGCAUCAUAAGUAUUUUGUGACUUUUAUAGAUGAAAAAUCAAAAUAUACUUGGAUCAUUGGAUCACACUGAUGCAAUCUAAAGAUAGGGUCUUAGAAGCUUUCAUAAAUUUUCAAAAUUAUGUAUCUAACCAUUUCAAUGCCAAGAUAAAAAUUUUGAGAUCAUAUAAAGGAGGAGAAUAUACAAGCAAUGCUUUUAAACAACACUUGGCCAAAUAUGGGAUGAUUCAUCAAACUAGCUGUCCAUACACCCCACAACAAAAUGGAGUAGUUGAGAGGAAAAAUAGAUAUCUCAUGGAGGUUGCAAGGAGCAUGAUGUUCCAUACAAGCAUGCCCAAAAGCUAUUGGGGAGAUGCUGUCCUUACUGUCUGCUACUUAAUCAAUAGGAUACCUACCAGGAUCCUUCAAGAUCAAUCUCCAUAUCAGGUACUGAACAAAACUAAACCAUCCAUAGAGCAUUAUGUGUUUUUGGUUGCUUGUGUUUUGUCUUGAUUCCAGGAGCUCAAAGAGAUAAGCUGGCGUAUAGAAGCACGAGGGGCAGUAUUUAUUGGCUAUUCUCCUCACCAAAAGGGCUAUAAAUGCUUUGUUCCAGAGACUAGGAGAGUCUUGAUAUCAAGGGAUGUGAAGUUUGUAGAAUCCAGAGGCUAUUAUGAUGGAAAGAGUUGGGAUGAGCUCAAAGAUCUUUCUCAAUCAGAUUCAGAUAGAGCAAACAACCUUAGGAGAGUAAUGGAGAGCCUAGGAAUCAGUAUGCCUUCUCUACCAAAGGUGGAACAUGUCCCUGAAAUGUACCAUCUACUGCAGCUGAUAGUGUUGAGAACACUCAUCCUGAUCAUCAGGGGGGCAGUAGAAAUGUUGAGCAGUCUACACAAGCUCAACCUGAAGAGAACUCAGUAGCUCAUCAUCAAGAUGAGAUGCCAUCAGAAUCAGAUGCUGAGACUCAAGUAGAGGCGCCAAGCGAAGAAAAUGAAGCAGAACCUGAGCAGAUACAACCUUUGAGAAGGAGUACAAGGAUCAGGAAACCUUCACACUGGAUCAACACAAGAGUUUACUUCAAUGCUGAAGCUGUAGCUCACCCAAUAAGUGCAGUAUGCUCCCUUGCUCAAUAUCCAGAAGAGCAUCAAGUCUUCAUCAGUGAAUUGGAUCAGGAAUACAUUCCAAGGACAUAUGAAGAAGCUAUGCAACACAAGGAGUGGAGAGAAUCUGUUGGAGAUGAGAUGGGAGCCAUGAUCAAGAAUGAUACAUGGUUUGAGACUGAACUUCCAAAAGGAAAGAAGGCAGUGACAAGCCGGCUUCUCUACACUAUCAAGUAUGGAGCCAAUGGAAAACCAGAAAGAAAGAAAAUAAGACUGGUUGCAAGGGGAUAUACUCAAGUAUAUGGUGAAGAUUAUCUAGACACUUUUGCACCAGUGGCCAAGCUUCACACUAUAAGGAUUCUCUUGUCUCUUGCUGUCAACCUUGAGUGGGAUUUAUGGCAGAUGGAUGUGAAGAAUGUCUUUCUUCAAGGAGAAUUGGAGGAUGAAGUCUACAUGAGACCACCUCCUGGUCUUGAGAACAUGGUGAAGCCAGGAAAUGUUCUCAGAUUAAAGAAGGCAUUUUAUGGCUUGAAGCAAUCUCCAAGGGCUUGGUACCAUAAGUUGAGCACCACCCUCAAUGGAAGAGGCUUUGUAAAGUCAGAAGCUGAUCACACCCUCUUCACAUUAACUAGUAGGCAAGGUAUUGUGGUCAUCUUAGUUUAUGUGGAUGACAUUAUCAUCACUAGUAGCAACAAGGAAGGUAUUCUCUCAACUAAAACCUUCCUUAAAAAUGCCUUUGAUAUCAAAGAUUUGGGAGAGUUGAAGUACUUCCUUGGGAUUGAGAUAUGCCGCUCUAAAGAGGGGUUAUUCUUAUCUCAAAGGAAGUACACACUUGAUAUUUUAAAUGAGGCAGGAAACCUUGGGAGUAAAAAGGCCAAGACUUCAUUAGAAGAAGGAUAUAAGGUGCUGAGAGAGGGGGAGUAUGAGUCUACACCAUUUGGAGAUAUCAAGAAGCAUAGAAGAAUGGUGGGCAAGCUCAUCUAUCUAACCAUCACCAGACCAGAUGUGUGCUUUGUUGUGAAUCAAGUGAGUCAACACAUGGGAGCUCCUAAGGUGCAUCAUUGGAAUAUGGUGGAGAGGAUCUUAAGGUACCUAAGAGAGGCGCCUGGCCAAGGAGUAUGGAUGGCAUGUAACAAGAGUACUGAAGUUGUUGGAUAUUGUGAUGCUGAUUGGCUGGAGACAGAGUUGAUAGGAGAUCAACUACAGGCUACUGCACCUUCAUUGGAGGAAACCUGGUCACAUGAAAGAGCAAGAAGCAGAAGGUGGUGUCUUGCUCAAGUGCUGAGGCAGAGUACAGAUCAAUGAGGAAGCUCACAAGUGAGCUUAUAUGGAUCAAGGGACUGCUAAGGGACUUGGGGAUUGAGAUCAACACACCAAUGACUAUGCAUUGUGACAACCAGGCAGCAAUACAUAUUGCAUCCAACUCAGUCUUUCAUGAGAGGACAAAACACAUAGAAGUGGACUGCCACAAGGUGAGACAGGCAGUGGAACAGCAAGUGAUUCUUCCAUGCUACACAAGAAGUGAAGAUCAACUAGCUGACAUAUUCACCAAGGCAGCUGGCAGCAAGGUUUGUGAGUUCAUUCAUCCUAAGCUUGGACUCAUAGACCUCUCUUGUCACUGAUCCUCUUGCCACGAAGUGUUUUACUCUUUUUCCUUUGCUUGGUUUUUAUCCCAAGUGGUUUUUUCAAGUAAAGGUUUUAAUGAGGGAAUGCUUCAUGGUUUCCAAGCUUGACCAAGUCCCUAUGGUCAAGCUUGAGGGGGAGUGUUGACAUGAAGAGAAUAAAGAUCAAGAGUAAAGACAUGAAGAACCUGAUUGAUCAUGGACAGGAAAUCAUGGACAGAAAAACUAAAGCAAGGAAAGGUGUGAGACUGAUUAAAAUAUCUUGCCUGAAGUCUUGGACGAAUUUAAACAAGUGGAGGCAACUGGAUAGAGCUGUUGGAGUGUGAAAACAAGCCAAAGUCACAUGAUAUACUAAGGAAGGAAGAGAGAAGAGAGUUGUCACUAUCCGAAAGUGACUUCCUCAGAUCUGAUAUUCAUUAGUUUAUUCAUCUUCAUUUGUUUAUUCAUUCUCAUUGUCUUAUUCUCUUUGCUAGAUCUAUUUAUGUAACUAUUGUAUACACUAAAUCAAUCUAAAGAAAAAUGUUCCUCAAAUAUUUUUAUCUCUUUCUUUUGAAUUUCCCCAUAUAUUUCUCUUAGUUCUUCACCAAAAUCUCUCAAAUAAUUCUCAUAAACUCUCAUUAAUUCUCUUAAAUUUACAGAGAAUGUUUUUUUUUUUAGGUGGGACUGAUAAGGGUGAAAGUGAAACUGUUUGGUCGAUGGUCUAUGUGGAUAAUUCUGAACGGUUAAUGUUUUCUACUUCAGUCCAAUGAAAAUGCUUCGAAGUAUUGAAAUCCAAAAUGUAUUGGAGCUAACCAUAAAUCAUUUGAGAAUGGUAGCAUCGAUUAUGGCAUCUGCAUAACUGUAGAUCAGGUAGAUGAUAGUAAUUUAACGAUGCAAGUCACCAGAUUAUAGUGACAGGAACAAGGGGAAUGGUUAAGUUUGUCUUGUUGGAUUCAUCGAGCCUCUACAUUUCUUUGCAGUUUUCUGAUGUCUGAUAUUCAAUUACUCAAAUAUUGAAUCAACUGUACACAGGAAAAAAAUGAAUAACAAGUUACGACUUUCGUGAACAAAUAUAUAUAUAUAUUCGCAGAAGAAGAUAAGUGUUAAUUUCAGGUGAUAAAUGUCAAGUUUUGAGGAUAAUUACGAAAAUCGAAGAAAAAUUGAAUAUUUUCGCAAGAUGAUAAACUCGACCUAGCGGCAGAAAAGGAAGACACAAACCGACCUUGGGAUGAGUAUAUAAGGAGUGCAGAGACGAGAGGCACAAGAGAGAAUUUUUACACAGAAAAACUUAGCAUUUAGAGCAAUAAACAACUUUCCGUUUUUGUUAUCGAGUUGCGACUCAACUAGGUUUUUGCAGUUUUAGGUUGUUAAAACUAGGGAACUCGCCGGCAGCUCCUACAGCCAAGGCUCUUACCUCGUUGUAAUGUUCAUAUGCAAAUUCGGAAUAACACAUUUUUUGCUUUAUUUUUUGAUUAUAAUUUAUUUCGUUUGUUUAUUUUAUGUCUCUGAUUGAUUGAUUGGUGUGUGGUUUAGCAUUUAUCUGAGAUUUUUAGAAAGUUAGAGUUUUCCUAACUUUCUUAAUUUAAUUAAAUUUUGUCUUGCUGGAUUCAUCGAGUAUCCACAUUUCUUUGCAGUUUUCUGAUGUCUGAUAUUCAAUUACUCAAUAGUGAAUCAACUGUACACAGGACAAAAAAUGAAUAACAAGUUACGACUUAAGUGAACAAAUAUAUAUAUCCUUAUUGAUUUACAAUGGAUAUUUGUUAUUCUUUCAUCGUCUCCAAAGAUGAAUCCACCAAACUCCAUAAUCGUUUACUCAGCCAUGCAGAGAGAACGAACCCCAACACUUUCUUGCAAGGUCGCUCGCUGGUGAAUGUUAGCUGCUAAAAAUUUCCUUUCCACGUCACUCGAGCAUUAGAUUUCUUCUUCAACAAGAAUUAGCCUGAGAAAGGUAAUUUAUCAUCACCACGAUCUACAGCGUUCCUCCAUAGUCUAUACCGAACUCCAAGCUUGUCAUAAGCAACAGGUAAGUUCCAUAUAUUUGCACCAUUCAACAUCCUUUCUUGCUGUCCCAAAACCAACCGUAGAUCUUCAUUUAAGACCUGCAAAAAACAGAUAAAAAAAACAUCAAGAUGAUCGAUAUUCAUUCAUUUAUUUCUUUACUUUUUUUACCUGUUCAGCGAAAUGUCUCCAGAGAUGUUCCAUGAAUGGUAGAUUCUUCAAUAUUGGAGCAAAGUCUAGUGACAUUCGGUAUAGAAGUCUUGUCUUGUUUCUCGAAGAAGGUAAACAAACAUGGAGUUGAUGAAGAUGUGUUGCACACUGCUCGGUGCUCUUCCCCUCUAGCUUCCCUGGUUUUGAGAUUCCUAUUGUCGAUAACACGAUACAAGGUGGUUUAAAUUCCAUAUCGAUUGGAUACGGAUCCCAGUAUCCUUGAAGACCUGAAGAUGGUGUUAAGAACUUUACCAAGCUGCAAGAAAAGAGAGAAAAGGCUUUAAAAAAAAAAACAGGGAGUCAUUGUCAAUACUGAAACAGCGUAAUGAGAUUUUAGAAAAACAAACCUUGGGACACUCCAGCCUUUUGCAAAAGUAGAUGUGUGAGUGAAUGGAGCAUGCGCAAGAUCCAAGAGAUUAUCUAGUAGCAACCCGUGUUCCACCGGUAGGUCCAUUACAAGCUGAGAUUAUGUUAGAGAACAAAAAUGAGAUUUUAAAUGACAGGAAUCUACAACUGCUCAAAAAACUACUUGGAAUCUACAAGAUUUACCUCGGCAUGGAUUACAAACCCUGAUGGAGGCUGUAAAGAAGGAAGUGUGGGUGAAGGUGGCUCAUCACCGGGCCAAACCCAGACCAUGCCGUCUUGUUCAAGACAAGGUAUCGAUUUUAUCUUCACAUUCAGUAGCUUUGUAGAUGGCAUCUUCGUACACUUUCCAUCAGUUGAGUAUUCCCAUCCUACAAGAUCACACUCGAAAAGAUGCUCUAAAUAAAAUGGUUUAAAAAUCAACAAAACACAGAGAAUGAGUUACUAACCGUGGUAAGGACACUGGAUACGACCAUUGUUCACCGAGCCAAGAUCAAGAGGACACGCUCUAUGUGCACAUGUGUUCCGUACACAUCCUGGUUUCCCAUCUUCCCCUCUGAAGAUAACCCAUGGUUGCUCAAAGCAGUCAAUUGGUACCUUAAGGAGACGCAAUAUCAUUUUUAUUAUAUAUAUAUAUAUAUAUUUUGGAAUGACAGGGAAAAGACAAGAAAAAACAUUUUAUACCAUACCAUCGUGUCAUGCUUAAGAUCUGCAGUGAAAGCAACGGGAUACCAAAAGUUCUUCAAGUGUGGACUAUAAGGCUGAACGGGACCAGAAACAUUCAAGCUUUUCCCACCAACCCUGUCUGAGUCCUGGACUGAGGUUGAAUAGGAAGGUCUGUCUGAUUCUGUCGCAACUCUAACUGGUAAUAACCUAUCAUUAACCAAUUCUUCCAUGUGAGCUAACUUUUCUAGAGCAGUUGAAACCCUCGCUUCUGAUAUAUGAACCUGUUUUAGAUUUUGACUAAGAGUUAGAACAAGUGAGCACCAAUAUAAAAAAAAAAACGCAAUUCUUAAGAACAUGUUGGUGUGCUUUCGCGAGUUCUUCCUGCAAUCCAGCAAGUUCUUUCUUCACAGUACCAAUAGACUUGUACUCACGAGCUAGAGGAUUCAGUACAUCAACGACCUGAGAGAUACAAUCAGUUAACUAAUAUGCUGAGAGGUCAAUGUAGAUGAUAGAUACUGUGGUGAGAAACAAACCUUGUCGUGAAGGAGCAUGAUGGUAAGAAGAUCUUGACGAGCACGCCAAUCCAGAUAUUGGAUAUCGAGCCUAGCAACUUCAAGCGCUUGGUUUACAUCCAUGAACUUGCCUUUGCCUUUAUAAGGAGGAGGAGGAGUUUUUGAUCUAGGAUCCUCCACAUCAAACAAAUGCCCCCAUUGAUUCUUUUUCUCAACUAACCCACUAUCUUCCCCAAACACAGCAAAAACCCUGAACUCUCCCUGAGAAACAAACAAUAAUCAUUCAAAAAUGAAACCUUUUCUAAUGCCACAACAAAAACCCAAGAUCUCAAAAACAGAUGUCAAGUAAAGUUACACCUUCUUUCUGGUGACUUGAGAUGAUCUAGUUUUACAGAAGGAUAUGGGUAGAGAUAAAGCAGAAGACGUAAACACGGCGGCGUUCAUGGCGUCGUCACCGGAAGGAACGAAAGAGAUAAUAGACAAAGAGAUUAGAGAGACAAAAGGGAUUUUACUUUUUUAUUAAUUCGAAUUUUUUGUUGAUAAGAGAAGCGAGUUCUUCGCGAUCUAAGCAAACCUCCGAAAAGAUGACACGUGUACAAACAUUGCCAAUGAAGAUGUACAUGUGGCGGUACUAUCAUCCACAUGAUGAUGAAGAUGGAUUUGCCAGCUCGGAUUCUCCGAGAUAUCUUUGGCUAUCUUUUGUUUUUCGAAUUCUUACUGUUUUUUGUCAUUUUCCUUCUUUGGUUUUCCAUCACUAGUUUCUUUUGGCGAAAAACAUUUGUUUUUAGAACAUCUCCGAUCCCUAGCUAUUUUCACUUCUAUAUGCUAUAAUAGAGGAAAAAAUAGCAUUUAUCUAUUAUAGAGUCAUACUUUUUUAUUUUUAAAAUAGUCUUUUAACUUUCAAAUUUUUUAUAGUUGUAACUAAAAUAAUUAUAUUUAUAGAAAAAUACAGCUUUUGUAGGAAUAUAAUAAUAUUUUUUUAUUUACAUAAUAGUCUUUUAACAAAACUUUAGUUUAAAAAAAUUCAUAAGUUUAUGAAAAUAUUUUAAAAGUUAAAAAUAAAUAGGGUUAGUUAUCAACUUUUAUAAACAAAAUGUAUCUUUUGUAAAAUUAAAAUAGAAUCUUUUGAAAAUAUUCCUUUAUAGAGGUAAAAAUAGAGAAAUACAUUGGAAAGAAACUCAUCUCUAUUUUAGAGGUAAAAAUAGGGGAAUACAUUGGAGAUGGUCUUACAAAACUGGGACAAAGCUUCUUUUUUUUUUUUGCAUCGAAAGCUCCAUAUAGCACCAACCAAGUCUAGACCUCAGAGUUAACAAAAACAAAAGCCACGAGACGGAGCACCUUUCGCAAGGCGAUUGAUAUCACUUAAAUUAGCCUAAGUAGUGAUUUAUACUCUCUCAAAUAAGAAGUCGAAUUGUAGUACUUAGGGAUCGAAUUCACAGGGAGCUAGGGAACCUAAUAGAUCAAAUUUGAUUUGUUAAGUAAGAAGUUUUUAAGAUUUAAAAUGUAAAUUUGCAGUUUUGGUUGAGCAAGUAAUUGCUCGAUUAAUUGGUUCAGGUUUUGGUGCUUAAAAGGAAAUAGCUAGACUUAGGGUUUCUAUUCAGGAAACUUGGAAUUAUAAUCCUACAGAUGCCUAAUGAGUUGCAUGCAUGAUAAUGUAAAGCUCAACUGUCAAUUCAACAAGUCCAUCAGCUAUCGCAUGUUUGAACUCGUCUAUUAACUAUAUCUAAUGACCCAAACAGAUGUGUUCGAUCAAUAGCAGUGUCUAUCGAUGAUCCUAUAGGGAUUUCGGUCGAUACAUCUUUCGCUCCGUCAAUCGAUUAUCCAAUAUGAAUAUCGAUCGACGCGCUUCUAGUUAAGCUUUAUACGCGGGUUGAAUGAAUGCUUACUAAGCUCACUAGAUCAGCUCUCGCCUUACUCUUAGCAAGAAACUUAGCUCAGUUAGAAUGUUUUCAGGAUGAAAAUGAAGCUCUCGCUUUUAUCUAUCAAUUCUAGGGCAAGUUCUAGGUAGUUAAUCUAGAAACAUGCAUUAAUGAACAAUCCUAAUGACAAUUACCACAACUUAGCAAUCUAUAGUUGGGGAUAAUCCUUCAUAAUCUAUUUAAACCCUAAAUCUAACAGUGGAACUACUUAGACAUGGUCAAGCAAUUCAUGAAAGCAAUUAGGUUAGAAAACUUCAUAGAAUAGUAAAAUAGAUAUUAAUGGAGUUCCAAUCACAAAUUAUAACUUUGGAUCUUCUCUCCAACUAUCACAAUCCUAAAACCUUUAGCUGAAAGUAAUAAAUAUAAAAACACAGAAAAGCACACUUUGCCUCUGACAUGGUGGAAAAGUUUAUAUAGUUAGGUUAAAACUCGUCAAGAGUAAUCUUGUAAAUUGGUGAAGACUUGGGCUUCAAGUUGGCUGUGACCAAACAGGCUUUCAGCGUGCUUCGUUGUCGAUCGAUGUUCAAGUGUGAACAUCGAUCGAUAUUCCUCCUCCAAUAUCGACUGAUGGUCGAGCUCGAUGGUCAUCUCGGGUGCUUGCUCCAAAUAUAUCCAAAAUGCUCCAAAAUCAUCACUUAUCUCUAAAUCACUUCCUGAUCUUAUAAAUAUAAAAAUAGACUCUAUAAUAUAAUAAUAGAUAGUAAAAACACCUAUAAACUAUAGACGAAAAUGGGUCAAAUCCAUGGUCUAUCAGCGAUCAGCUCGGAGGUUCUUUAAACGUGAGACAAAAGAAAUGGAGCAUAACAAAAACUUAGAACGAAGAGUAAGGAAUUCAUCAAACUCAGCCAUAAGACUUGGCCAUUCUUCUUCUUCCUCAAUGAGCCUAACCAGUUGCAGGCAAUCUGAUUCAAAGGUCAUUGAUACGUGACCGAGAAAUUAGCGAGGAUUUCAUGGCCCACAGCAGAGUACCAAACUCUGCGUGUAGGGGAGACAGCGAUCGGUUACCAGCAAUCAUCACCACGAUCUACAGCGUUCCUCCAUAGUCUAUACCGAACUCCAAGCUUGUCAUAAGCAACAGGUAAGUUCCAUAUAUUUGCACCAUUCAACAUCCUUUCUUGCUGUCCCAAAACCAACCGUAGAUCUUCAUUUAAGACCUGCAAAAAACAGAUAAAAAAAACAUCAAGAUGAUCGAUAUUCAUUCAUUUAUUUCUUUCCUUUUUUUACCUGCUCAGCGAAAUGUCUCCAGAGAUGUUCCAUGAAUGGUAGAUUCUUC